UGGGUUUUCAAAAUCCUCUCUCUCUUCAAGAAAAACCCUAAGAAAGAUCGUUCAUCAAGUUUCACUUCUAAGGUAUGAUUGAAGGUUCACGCUCUUAAGAUUUUAUCUUUUAUUUAGUUAUUAUUUCUUUGUUUAAUUUCCAGUUUGAAUAUUUCUUUGUUUGAUUUCCAUUUUGAAUUAGAAUUUAAAUAGUUCGUUCUUUGUUAACCUUCUUUUCUUUUAUCUUCUGCUCUCUCUUCUGUUGUGUUUGUUUGAUUAUUUAGUCUGAUUAUGUGGUUUUUUGCAGGAUUGUCUUGAGAAAAGAAACUUCAAUUCAGGUCAUGAACAUUAUUUAUCCUUUUUGAUCGCUUGCUCUAUGGUUUAGUCUUUUUUCUCUCUAUUUUCAUUUUUUUUUAGAAUUUGGAAAAUGGGGUUAUGUAUGCUUUCUUUUUUCCUUCUUUGUAUGGUUGUAGACCUACUUUUGCAUAAACAUGGCACCUCGGUUCAGCCAAGCAUUCAGGUUCUUUCCUAAUUUCCUGUAUAUUUUCUUUGAGGCAUGUGAGAGUGCUUGAUUUACUGGUCUCACAUUUGUCUAUGUGGGGUUGUUAACAGUAAUGUGUUUGCUGGUAUUUUAAAUUACUUCAAUUUGAUAUGAUGGAUAAAAUGGCUAUUGGCUUGUUAUGGUAUUGUGUCAAGACUACCCAGAAAAGAUAUCUAUUUAUAAUUCUAACAUUUACAUUGUCAAAUAUAUCUUUUAUGUGGAUAAUUUCUGAUUCUUUGGUUUUUAGAAUCUCUAAAGUAAAUCACUUAAAAUUCAACCAUUGUCAGAUAUUCUUGAUGGUAAAAUUAUCAGAAAUCAGUUGGGAAAUUAUAUAUAUAAGUGUGGUUGGAAUGAACAAAUUGAAGCGAAAAGGUCCCUCGCCUUGAUUUUGUCAGACUAAUAAUGUGAUUCAAAUUUAAUGCUCCUAGUACUCCGAGUUUCUUGGAGUGGAAACUUGCAUGAAAAUUAAGAACACUUUGGAGAGUAUUUUAGAGAAAACUAAAGCUUGGAUGAGGAGAUGUUACUGAAUAAUAAAUUUCUUUGUAGAAUACAAUACAGUUAGGAUAAUUUUUUGUUUAUCUUCGAGGCAACCUUUAAAAUCCUGUUUCAGCUAAAUACUGAAUACUAGAAAUCCUUUUUGAUUGGGAUGUCGAUCAGCAAGAUAUUUUGAAUGCUAAAAUACGUAUCAUUUAUUUUUCCUUCUUUAUUUCAGUUGAUCAUCAUUGUUAUAUGUUCUAUCCAUUAUCUUUACCUUGAAAAGUUUGGAGCAGGUGGUUCCCAUAUCUCGUAUGCUGAAUUGUAGUUUAAUUUCGUUGUAGUUGUUCUUUCUCAUUUUUAAUACCUGCAGCUGAGACACUUGCAUGGGAAAAGAACUGAAAUGCCAUUAAAGAUUUAUGGAGGUUAAGAGGAUGGACCUCAAAAUCCUAUUAUAAAGAACAGAAAUCUUUUUUGUGUUUUGCUUGAACUUUGAAAUUGAACCAAAAUACAGAACUUGUAUUUGUGUGCAUGUAUAACUCUUGCCUCGUACACAUUUCACUUCACUUUUUUUAAAAAUAAAAUAAAAUGACUUGAUAAUAUACCCCUGUACGGCAACUAGUCUUUUAUUACUUUGUUUGUAAGGCUUUCACUCUUAUAGGCAAUUUUUCUGGAUGCGUUGGGAAGAAGUGGAGAAAGAUUGAUGCUUUGAGUAGCUUAAUACAGAUAAAACGAAGUAGGCAUCUGAGGUAAUAAUUUUGUAGUUUCUUAUACACUGAUAAUAUGAUUUGCUUGGUCUAGUCACUUUGUAGUUGUCUCACAUCUCUUUUUCAUGGUUGUUAUUAGUGUUUUCUUUUCGUUGCCACCAUCAUAAUACCUAGUGAAGCUAGUUUCUUUAUCACAUUUAGCUGCAUAGUUUCAUGUUGCUCUCCCUCCAUUUGUCUUAUUGUCUCUGCUUUGAGAGGGAAGAGUACGAGCAUGGAUUAUUGAGAGGGGUUAAUAUAGGAGGAAUGGUUUGCUGAAUUGAAGAAUCAAGUUUUUCUAUUGUUAUUGGAGAUUUUUAUUUACUGGUAUACAGCUCACUUAUAAAAUCCCUCUCUAAAUUUUUUAAUAAUCAUUAUUUUUUAGUUUCUUGAAUGAUAUUUAAUAACUAGGAGAGUAAAGUGCCCGUAAGAUUAGCCCCGGGGAUAAAUGAAGUCAUUGGCUUUUUUAAGUUUUUUGUGGCUUUGUAGAACCUGAAAAGUAAAUUUAUUAUAAUGUACUUGUAAGCAACCAUUGCCAAUAUGCGAGUAUGCUAAUCACAUUAUUCUUAAUUUAUGGUAGUUUUUUUUUUUUUUUGAUGAAUCAUGUUUAAUAUAGGAGCCAAAAGUGGAGGAAGAUCGAUGCUUUUAACAAAAUUUAAUGCAGAUGAACCAUUGUAAUAUGUAAAUUUAUUGCAAAUUUAAUGCAGAUGAAUCUUGUUUAAUAUUGUAAUGUACUUUGUUUCUUUCACAGCUAAAAAAUAACCAUUGUAAUUUUGAGAAAGUAGAAGGAUCUAUGGUUAAAAAAUUAAUAAUAAUAAUUCUCAAAAUUGGGAUUUGUGCUUAAUAUAUAUCUUCCUUGUGUUUUGAGUUCAUCAAAAUCUGAUACGUUGCAAUGACAAGUUGAUCUAUGGAGGUUUCAACUUUCAAGGAACUUUUUCAAGGACAAAGGGAAAAGGAUGAAUUGGAUAAGGGAAUAUUAAAAAUAGAAAAAAUUGAAUUUAGUUGAAAGAUAUUUGUUCCAAAUGGCCAAUAAACUAAUUCUAUUUUUGCCAAGUAGGUACAUGAAAAGAAAUUAUUUUAAAAAAAUAAAAAGAGGAUAUAUUUUCUUUGUGUUUUUAACUGUAAAGCUAAUUUACUUCAACCAUAUUAUAAAUUAAAAAAAAUAAACUAAAAGCCAUUAGUCAAUAAAUACAGUUAUCAUUGAGGAUUGGGAAAAAUGAAAUGAUUAUUUUGCUAUUUUUAAAAACUAUUCUUCUUAAAAAACACUAACAAAACUUGCAAUUGAAAGUGAAAUCAUCGUUCCUAGGGAUCAUUAGACAUUACAAAACUGACUUGGGAAAAAUUAAUCUAAAUAUAUUUUGUUGGUAUAGUAAAUGAUUUUGUUGUUCUUAAAAGCAAAAAAAAUAUGAAUAGCUUUAGUUCAGGGGAUUUUUUUUGUAUUUUCAAUAUUAUUUGCAUAGCAAAAUUAUCCUUAUAACUUUAAAAGCAAAAAAGUUAAAAACAUGCAAAGAGGGAACUUUUUGUCUUUUAUUUUUUAUAUUAGUGAAGUGAUAGGAUUGCCCUUGAAAAAAAUUAAGGAUGGUUCUAAGGGCAUUGUUGUUUUUUCUUUCUUUUAUAUUAUAAAUUCAUACCAAUCCUUUCAAAAAUUAAUUAUAUCCUUUAGAUUCUAUUUCUAUCAUUUUUUACCAUUAUUUUUUUUUUAUUACUACUUGUUUUGCUUGUAAUUAUUUUAAAAUUUUAUUUUUUUUCAAUUUUAUCAUUAGGCAUUUUAUAAUUUUUUUUUUAUCUAAUUUGGUUUUAAUUGCUUUUUUUUUGUGUUUUACCAUUUUUUUAAUUUAUUUGUUUUUCAAUUCCGUUCUUCAUCAUUUUAUUUCAUUUUAUUUCUUUAUUUAAUUUUGGUCUUUAUUCUUUUGAUUGCUAUUUUCUUAUCAUGUUUUUGAUUUAUUGUUUUUUAUUAUUAUUUUUCCCCUCAAUAUUUUAUUUUAUUUAGUUUUUUUAUUCAAUUUUGGUCUUUAUUUUUUUAUUAUUAUUUUUAUCUUUUUUAAUUUUUUUCAAUUUAAUCUCUAAUUUUUUUUCUUUCAUUUAGUUUUCAUAUUAAAUUUGAUCCUUAUUGUUUUGAUUCUAUUUGUUUUAUAUUUAUAUUUUUAUUAUAAUUAAAAAUUUACUUUGUAAUUUUUUUGUGUUUACCUUUCAAUAAGAUAAUUUUGAUCUUAUAACUCGGGUUAUUUAUUUUGAAUUAUUAGCCUUCUUUAGUUUUAGGGUCUUUAUUAUAUUUUUUUAUUUUAUCAUUCAAGUUUUAGGGUUACUUCUUUAAAAAUAAAAUUAUAUUAUUUGAAAAUAAAAAUUAAAAAAUUGAAAUGAUAUUAUUCUAAACAAAAAUAUUUUUUAAAAUAGAAUCUUGAAUGUCACCUUAACAGGAGUUGAUCAGUUAACUCAUCUAAUUUUAAAUAAUUCAUCACAUAACUUGGCUUAAAAGUAAACGUGGCUUGUACCAAACUCUGAAUUUACAAGUCAUCAAGACAACCUGUCGUGCCGUACUUAAAAUAAGAAACCUAAUGCAAGGGCAAAGUUGAUAAAUGGGCCUAAAUCAACAAUUGUUUUGUAAUUGGCUGUUUAUCUAUUACACAGUUUAUAUCAAGUGUCUAGCUUGUUUACAAUUAUUUGGUCAAGUUAUUCUUUUCUUUUCUAUAUUAUUAUUUAUUAGUUAGUGUAUAUAGAAAAAGAAAAAAAUAAAGUAUUUUUUUUCUUUUGUUUAAUUUAUUAUAUUUAAAAAAAUUCCAAGUUUUUUAUAAUUCACAAAAAUAAUUUGAAUUUUAUAUUUUAAACAAACCAUUCUUUAUGCAUACUUACAAACCUCUAUCUUGAUCUUGACAUUUUAUCUCAAUCGUUUCUCUUUUAGAUGAGAGGGUAUGGCUUAGAAUUUUUAAACUCUAGGAGAUUAUUAUUUUCCAAAAUAAUUCAAUUAAAGUUUUACUAUACAGUUGGACGACUGAUUUAUGAUUUGCCUUGAUGCAGUAUUAAAUAGAGAAGAUUGAAAUAAAAUAAUUAUAGGACAUGUAGGCGAUCCACUCAUGUUGCGUUUAGGGCAAUAUGAAGAGUGUUAGGAUUAGAUUUCUGAACUACUGUGGUUUGAAAUUGUAAUGCAUAACAAGAUAUUAUCAAACUGUUAAUAUUAUAUGCUUGAAUAUUGUAAUUCUCUUUUAAAACAAGCAUUAAAUAAAAUAAAAAUGCUAACAAAACCAAAAAAAAAAAAAUGCGGACAAAACAUCAAGAAAUUUCUUGUUCUUAUUGAUUCAAGUGGCACGUUUCCGAAGAUAAUGCUCGUGGUUCUUUGAUAUCCCGGGGCUAAAAUUUAUCCUUUUUUUCCAGGUAAAAACGAGAUUGACUUUAUAUAACCUAUCAGUCAGGGAUACAUGCUGGCUAGCAUGUUAACUUAUAGAUUUUGACUUUAAAAUUAAUGUUAGUCGCUGCAUGCCUUUUCUUUGGCCUUGACAGUAGAGCCUCGGUGUUUGCUGCAGGCUGCAGCAUCACUCCCCUGCAUGAAGCUAUGCCUUGGCAAUGGCCAUGAGCUAUGCUAAUUUGGUGUACUUGGUGUUUUUUUGUCUUGUUCAUCGAAGGCUUUUCUUCAAGACUCUGGGAGCUACUCUACUUCUUGCCUAAAGCUGUUUCUACUCACGGACAAGUACUGCUUCUGCAAAUAGCUAGGCUUUUGUCAUAUAGUUUCAGUAUUAGAGUAGAUAUGUUAUUUCUCAUUUGAAAUAUGUUAUUUCUCAUUUGAAAUAUGUUAUUCCAGGUAAAAACAAGAUUGGCAUUACAGAUGCGGAACAGCAGCUCAAAGGGAGAAAAAGAAAACAUCCUUGAACAUGCCCGAGAUACGAUUCCAAACCUCUAACAUCUUACUAUCUUUCCUAGAAUGUUUUUUCAGGGCACCAAACCGAAGUGGCAACAUAAAGGCUGCCGGCAACUGGGCAUUGGCGUAUCGAAAUGUUCUAAACCAAACAUUUCACAGGAAGAAGAGUGGGACUAAUAGCAUGGCUAAUCAAACACAGAGAACCACUUACGGAAAAGAAUUUAACAUUUAACCAUCAUUUCAAAACAAAAUACAGGAUUGUGAGCAAUCAAAUAUGCCAAAAAAAAAAAAAAACCACACAGAAAGGAAAGUUAUAUUAGAAAGAAGAAGAAGAAAACACAAAAAGGAGAAUAAGACAUCCUUCUGAAUUGCAAAUCACACAACAAACAAGAUUAAAAUAAAAAGCACUCGAAUAUGCCAAAUAUAGGUUUUGAAAAUAUAAAUAUAUCGUCAGCUAUCCAUUCGAGAGAGGAGACGCUCAAGAUUAAUCAUCUGGUGCUUCAAGUAAAAAGAAGCAAAAUAAUGGGAAACAUGGAAACUCAAACUUCGAUUUCAGAUAAAAAUAAAAAUAAAAAGUGUUAUGACCAUGAAGUUGGCAUGCACAAGGAGGGGAGAGUGUUCCAUGAUAAGUAGUAAAACAAUCCACAACUUGAAUCUCAUGAUCCUAAAUUUUAUCACUAAAGAAGAAUGAUGCAGAAAAGAAUGAACCUCAUAAGACUAUAGAAUCAGGUAAGCAUAUAAGACAUACAGAAUAGAAGGAGAGGAAAAAUAGAAUAGCCAAUGCUUACAAGAUUACGUCUUUUUAAUGAGUCAGUCUCACAGUUUAUGUCGACAUUAUUGUAGAGCAGUCAUUAUCAAAAUGUGUAUAUGCAUCUAAAUCCCAACUCAGAGAUUUUCUUUAAAUAACAAUUAAUAUAAAAAAUAAAUGGCUGCUAUGGUCCCCUGCAAGUUGAUAAAAACCCAAAGUGUCAGAGAAUAUGUCUUGCACCUGCUAGGGGAUUGUUUAAACACAUCUGGUGUUGUUCGAUAGAUACCAAGACUGGCUGUUAACUAACAUGUGAUCCAAUAUCAUGUUCGAUGAAACGAUGAUAGGCGGCAUUCAAGAUACCAAACCAGACAUUUCUCCGCAGAAGUGGAAAUAAGAAAAACAGCUUUACAUGGGAAACAACUGCUGAGCAUUUCUAGGACACUUAUGCACUGACCUCAUUGUACGGUUUUCUGGAUUAAUACUUUUGUAGAUUUGUUCUCUCAAGCAUCUUGAGCAACAUAAUCUUAACUGAACUUCCAAUCAAUAUUUCAGGGCAUUAAUGAAAUAAAUAUGACACUUAAACUCCUAAGAUCCUUCCAUGCCACUUGCUACUCAGGAACAUUUUCAAUUUCUUGAAACAUUGUCAGGAUUGACAGAGAGUGACCUUAUGGCAAAUGUAAAACCACUACCACAGUAAACAUUCAAGGAGGCUUCUUUAUUCUGAAUAUCAGGGCUUAGACUGACUGUUUGAGGGAUAGUUUGAUCAUUUGUAUUCCCCAGGCCAAGUUGACCGUGUUCACCCCAACCCCAUGUCUUUAUCGCUCCAUCCACUGUGAACAAAAAUUUACAAUGUCAUCAACAAAAUGAAAUGACACAAUGACUCGGUAAAGAAAAACAAGAUGGGUAGCAGCAAUUCAUAGUAAAUAAGCUUGCCUGUCACUAAAGCAGAGUGCUCAGCUCCAGCCGCAAUCUUCACAACUUUAACCCCAUCAAGACCAAUUACUUCAUUCAAAGCAGCUCCGGAUGAAUCUGCUGGAACAUGAAACAGAGAGGUGGUGAUAUGACAACAAACAGUAACUAAUACAUGAGAUGAAUAUUUGAUGUGCAUAGCUUAAGUGGUUAGAUAAUAAAAGUUCAGAGUAACAAGAGUAUUGGGAAUUAGCCAUCUACACUAUAGAAACUGAAGCUCCUUGCCCAUCGUAAACACAAGGAAACCCAAAAGGUUCUUUCUUCCAGUUUUGGAAGUGGUAUAGACCAAUCAUCAUCACUUCAUCACAUAUAUUUGAAUUUAUGUACAACAAUGCUAAUGCAGGUUGAAUGUCUAAAUGCUUACCAGGACGAUGCUUCACUGCACUCAUUUUCUCAAGAUCACAAAGAACCCCAUGGUAAUUACCGCCAAGCAUAAGUACCUCCUCGUCACCUGUUCGAGAUAUCCCAUCAUCAUUAAAAUCUUAAGAGGACAGGAGCGGGAUGAGGGGUUGUUAAACCACAAACAAAGAAAUUGGAUAUGAAAAGAAAUGCAUUUACCUGUCAACAGUAAGCCAUGAUUCCAUCCAAGAGCAGCUUUGGUGCACCGCAAAGAUGAAAGUGAAAGCUGAGGAAAGUUAGCAUCUGAAGCGCCAGCAAAACCCCUUCCCCACGUGUAUAAAUGACCAUCAGCUGAUGUGAAUAGUACGAUGCAACAUAAACAAGAAUGAUAAAUGGCUUGAGACUAGGUGCUAUGAAUUGCCAACAAUAGAUGCAACUUGCAAUACGAAAAUACUUCACAAGUAUUUGAAGAUUUCAUGUUAAGUUAUCUCAAACCAUUCCCAUUCAAAAGUUUAUGAAUGGUUUUAUGUUCUAUACGUAUGUGAACCUAUGGUCUAAAAUGUUUAUGCUAGAAACUUUCUUUCUGCCUUUAUUGCAAUAAUCAGAAAUAGAAAGUAUGUCAGUCCCUCACCAGAUAUUGCAGCACUGUGAUCUCCAUUUGCACUGAUGCUAACGAUUUGGACAUCUUCUAACCCACAAGUGACUUGAGGAAGAUUAAUUGAUUUGAUUUUAUCUCUGGAGAUACCCAGUUGACCACGCUUUCCAGAACCAAAACCAUAAACUUGAUUUCCUGGUACAAUCCAGAUUGCAAUAUCACAAAUGAAAUUAAGCUCCUUCUAAAAACAGCGAGCCUUAGUGAUUUAAGCAUAUGUUAAAGCGAUAUUGACUUCGCAGCACAGAUGCAUCUCUGCAUUAUAACAUUGUGACUAGCAAUGAAGGAAGAGGUUUGCCACAGCAGUUACCAUUAAGCAAUACAAGUGAAUGGCGCAUGCCACAACCAAUCUGAUUAACAAAAUUAUUAGCGAAGUAGUCGACUUUAACAGGAGUACUCUGCGACCUGUAAUCCCCUUGCCCAAGCUGGCCAAAUGAGCCAUCCCCGCAAGUAAAAAGCAAGCCUAUGUCUGAGAAUUGGCAAAUACCAAAAAAAACUUAAAACAGAGUUUUCUACUAUAGAAUGGAUAUUAAUUUUUUUCCAGUACCUCAAAGAUGGAAGAAACAAUUAUAAUCAUGAAUGAGAAAGAACCUGAGACAAACCCAGAAUGGCUCCAUCCAGCUGAGACCUGAGUAAUGACAUAACUCUGCAAGGAGCUGACCGGCUUUGGGUGUGAGCUGUUGAGCAUCUCUCCAUGGCCCAACUGACCGGUUGUGCCCCUGCCCCAUGUGAACACUCUCCCACCUACAAGCAAGAAUUUGAUUAAUUGCCAUUUGAUAACAAGAAUUCAAAGGGAAAAUGCAGAAGUCAACGAUGGUACCAGAGGUUAAGGCAAUAACAUGAGCACCGCCGCAAGCAAGAGUAGAAAUGGAUUCAGCAGAGGAGAGAAAGGGAAGGUGAAGGAGUUGAGGGAGACACUCAUCUUCAAGCUUCCCUGUGCCUAGCUGUCCCUCCGUUCCUGCCCCCCAACUCCAUAUCUGUUUCAGUUUUGAUUCUUCUUCAUCCCUUUUAGCUUCUUCCAUUAUUUUACACUCUUUGCUUUCCUAUAGUGGAUUAACAUAAAUUAAACCCUAAAAUAUGCAAAUUCUUCUAAAUUAAACCCUAAACUAAGCAUUUUGAAUUGCAAAAAUAAUUAUUAAAAGUAAUAAUUCAUUUUGUCUUCAUUGUUUUGUAAAUUAAAAAAAAAUCUCUAUUAACAAAAAAAAUAAUUUAAAAACUCUCCAAAUAAUAAAACUAAUGUUAUAUAUUGUAUCAAAAAAAAAAACUAACAAAAAAACACAACUCUAUCCUCCUAGCAAUUUCUAAUGUAAACAAAAGCUCGUUAUAAUUUAUAAAAAUCUGGAUUAAAUUGAAAAUUCAACGAAAUCAAAGUUUUAAGAGUUUGUAUUCGAUUCUCUUUGUAUCUGUUCGCAUCAUUAGGUAGUGAAAUUUUUUUUUUUCCAGAAUGAGAAAAUAAAAAAAUAUGUCAUCUCACUUAUUUUCUCGAAUUAAAACUUAAAUAAUCAAGAUAAUGAGUGUGGUUGUUUAAUUGUUAUUAUUUCAUUAGAAUAUUGUUUAGCUUACAAGAUUAAACAUAAAGAAAUAACAUGAAACUUGGGUUAAUGUGAAGCUUGUGGAUUUCUAAGUUGAUUUUUGUUCAAUCUUCAAUGUUCUACUCAAAUGGGUUUAUAAGAGCAUGGAGACAAUCUAGAUUGUUUUUUAGAAAAUCUAAAAAAUCCACACAUUAAAAAUUAGUGUUAUUAUUCAUGUAACUCUAAUUUUGUAUUCUUUUACUAUAACAAGUUUAAUUAGUGUUUUAAUUUUGCAAGAAAUAAAAUGUUUAUCAUUAUUUUACAUCAAGGAAUUGUUUCAUAUGUUAUGACAAAUUGCUUUUAUAAAUAUAUUUUGCAUGGAGCUAUUAUUCAUUUGCAAGCAAGUUUAUGACGUGGAUUUACAUUAGUUGAGUAUAAAAAAUGAUAACGGUAAUAAAAUAGUUGUUGAUCUAUCGAUGAUGCAUAUCUUGAAUAUGCAUGAAGUAAAAAAAGAUGAAGAAAUUCAUGUUUAUAUUGAUAUUGAUCAUAAUAUUGCGCCACUACAAAUAAAAAUAUUGAAGUGUUAUGUAUAUAAAUCAAAUGAUGUUAGUAGGUUUCACCAGAAUAAAAUAUUUUUCAAACAAUAAUAAUAAUAAAAUUAUACUAAUUGUUUAAAAAAAAUUGUUUAAAUUUUAAUAAAAAUGAUGAUAAUGGUGGUGGUGGUGGUGGUGGUGGUGUAACUAUAACUAUGAGUACCAGUAGUUAUUGUGAAGGUAUUGAUGCAGGUGUUAAUAAUUCUAGCGUGAGUGGUGGAAAUUCAUAUUAUAAUACGAGAAGUGAUAAAUAAAUAUGAUGGUACUAAAUAAUUAUAAGUUUAAACAAUCAUAACUUAUUUUUCCAAUCACACAAAUUUUCAAAUUAAUAUAUUGAAAUCAAAAGAAUUUCUUUAACAAAACCUAUUGAUCAAAACAAUUCUCAAACACAACUCCUAUAGGACUUUAGGACUUUAAUUAAACACUUUAUAUGCAUCUUUAAACCAUUCUUAUCCAACACUUUAAAGCACAUAGUCUCUCAAUCAUUAAAUUUUUUUUUAAUUUCCCAAUCUUAUUAAGAUCUUCUAAAUAAACCAAUUCUCAACUCAUUCAAACCCUAAUUUGGAUAAAUAUGCAAUAGAUCAUAGAUUCAACUGAAUAUUUAUUGCAACGAGAAAUUGUAAGAGCAUGCGCAUAUUUAAUUAUAGAAUUUUAAACUCUAAGCAAUUUCAUUUAUAUGGAACUACAUAUUAAAAUAUCAAGUAACCCUUGUACAUAGUUUUAAUUUUGAGGUUUUUUUUUUGGGAAAAAAAAACAAACAUAAAGAAACAUAGGGAAUUUUGAAUUCUAAGCAAACCGUUAUGCAUUUUUUGAACCCACUUAUCAUAUCCGUUCAUUUGUUGUUGUUUAUUUUUAGAUUUCAAAUCUCUUAGUUUUAAGAAUUUAUUUAGAAGUUUGUUCUUUAUCUUAUUUUUUAAAGUUUGGGUCCUAAAACUAACAAUAUUUAAGAGAAUUUAUUUUUUAAAAUAUUGACCCAUGUGAUAGUAUGCCUUUAAGAUUAUUUAUGAUUGAGAUUUAGUUUUUGUUUUUGUUUUAGUUGAUGCAUAUGCUAAUUUGAAAAUAUCUUUAGGUUUUAAAAUGAUUUUUUUCAUAUAUGAUGCAAAAUAUAAUAGUGUUUAAGAUUCGCUCAAAACCUUCUCCUUUUCCAUCUUCUUAAUUUUUCCCUUUCCAUUUUAAUUUAUUUUGUUUAGAGUGCGUUAAUAUAUAAUCCAUGUUUUGUUGUUUAAUGCAUUAUGUUUCAUUCUUUUUAUCUAUUUCCUAUGAUAUUUUAAAUGUUAAAUUAGGUGUGAAUAAGCCAAAUACUAGUGUUAUCUUUUUAAUUUUAGUUUUUUUUCUCCUUCGAUAUAAACAACAACGUCAACAAAAACAAAUUAAAAAAUUUUAUUCUUUAACAUAUUUGAUGUUGUAAUCCUAAAUCAUAAUCUAAAUAAUUACAGUAUUGAAUGAUGGCCAUUCGAAAGGGAGAAAAGAGAAUUGUGAACUGAUAAUAAAUUCUACACUAGUUAAAAAGUACAAAAAGAAUUACGAACACAUUUCCAUCGAAGAAAAUAAUUUGCAAUGCCUUUAAUUCUAAAGAAGCCAAAAAGAAAAAUAUGACAAAUCUCAAUUUGAAAAAUAAUAUAUAUAUAUGCAAUUAAUUAUUAACUAAUAAAAUAUAGUUUUUAUCCCACAUUAGCACAACAACAAAAAUUAUUUCCUAGACUAGCACAGCUAGGAAAACAAUUCUCACAUUAACACACAAAUAGUCAUAUUUCGGCAUGAACCACCAACCAGUUAUCUUUUUUUUUUUCUUUUUUUAUAAUGACAAUUAAAAAAAUAUGCAUGUCAUCAAGUGUGUCAACAUUAUUAAGUAUGUGUUGAUGUAAGCCAAACAAAUACAUUACCCAAUCAAGACAAUGCACCUCAACAAUGACAAAACAGUAUAUAAAGACCACCGUUAUCCAUAAAUCACUUUAUCUGUACAUAAUGGAUAUGCACUUUUAAUUAAAUUGCCGAUGUACGGUAUUUAUAUGAAACUAUAAAACAUAUACAUUUAUAACACUUAUUACACUUAUAACAAAAAAAAAUAAAGUUAAAAAAAUGAAUAACUUAGUUCACACAUACCUAGUGAUGCUUAUGUUGAAUUCAACCCGUGAACUUAAGUACGAUUUUGUGUAUAACACUUAUGCCUUUUCCCAACCCAAUUAACAUGUUCAAGAUAAUUACGUUGAAAUUUUUUUUUGUUGAAAUUUUAAAUUUAACAAUGUGUUCAUAAUUAUUAUUACCGAGCUCCAAUUGAAAGUUAUUUUCCUGUAAUUAUAUCGAGCAUCUGAUUUCUCUAAACAUCAAGACGACCAAUAUGAAGACGCUCCCAUGACCAUCACUUUAUAUUUAGAAUAUAAAAAAUUAGUUAAUAUUUAAAUUAACUAUAUUUAAUAUUUAAUAGGAUAUAAUAUCAAAUUUUAUUUGUAGAAAAAUUAAUAAACAUUUGCCAAUUUGUUUCCCGUAUAAUCAAUACCAUAUAAUUCAUUGAUUUUUCUUACUAAAUAAAACAAUAUAAACACUAAAUUUCAUAUCUAAUUAAUCUUCAAUUAAAAAAAAAAUUCUAACCUAAACCCUAAAAUUUUUAUCCCUAAAAACCAAGUAAAAUAACAACAUAUAGAUGCUGUGAGUUAAUGACCAGAAAAGGAAGCAACGGUUGAAAGAAAAAGAAAGGUCAAGUCUGUCAUAGACAUGAGAGGGAAAAGUUUUUUGUUCUGAAGACUUAGAUGAUGUUGCUUAAGUUGAGAGCAUGGCAUAAGGAUGGAGAGGUAGUGGGGGGCAAAAAAGAGAGUAGGGAAAAAAAAAGGAAAUUACAGAACUAAUUAAUUCAAAGGUCAUGCUAAUACUAAAUGCACAACUAGGAGGUCACACUGUCUCUUUUUGUUUUUAUAUUUUAAAAAUAUUUUUUUAAAAAAUUAAAAUAUUUUAUAUUUUUUUUGCUUCAAAUUAGUAUUUUUUAGUAUUUUUAGAUUAUUAAUAUGCUGAAAUCAAAAAUAAUUUUUAAAAAAUAUAAAAAAAUUAUUUUGAUAUAUUUUUAAGUAAAAAUACUUUAAAAAUAAUAAUAAUUACUUUAAAAAUAAUAUUAACGCAACCAAUAAUUACACAUAAUUGCAUAAUUUAGUACAUACAAAAUAUAGGUUGUGAAUAUAUUACAUGCACUGUAUGUGUUAUUGUGAUAAUUAUUUUCAUAAGUGUGUUAGUUUGAGAAAUAAGUUUUUGAAAUUUGGAGGAAAAAAAAAAUUAAGAGGAAGGACGAAGUAAAAGGAAGGGUACUUGAUAAUUGUCCAACCCAGACUGAACAACUGACCCAUAGCUAGAAUCCAGCAGAGACUUGACGUGUCACUACUCGAUUGGCAAAUCCCAGUACUCUCCAGGUUGACCAAAGUUUUCCCGAUUCUGAAAAGAAGAUAAAGAUACAAUUAUUUGUCACACAUCCUGAUUGGAAAUUAUUUACAUCACUCAAGGUGUUAAAUCCCCAACCACUGCAGAGUCGACACGUAGAAGAAAGUAGCUGCAAAACGCAGAGUCGAACCACACAUGUUGAUCUGAAAUGUUGAAGGAAGUAGACAUGGGAGCAUUUGAUUACGACACAUAAUGAAAGAAUUAUGUGUCGUGUUGUUUUUAUCAAAGUACGAAGCAGCCUUUUUCCAGGGAGGGAAAGAGAGACCUUCGACAACUGAUUCAGCUGUAGCCUCACCUGCGUGGUUCUUGUACUUGCCUUCUUUUUCAUUAAAAAACAACUUUGGCCCAUGAUGAACAGUGAUGUACUGUUCCAUUAGUGUCCUUUUAUCGCCUAGAUUGACUGAGGUGCCCCGCCCCCUCGAGAAACUUGGCUGGCAAUGAAGGCUGCAGGUUUUCCAGGCUUCAGUCACACAGCGAGGCCUUUUCAGAGGCUACGCUUAGCCUGAAACCUGUGGGUUCUUCGUACUCUUUGUUACUGUUGGGAUUCAAUGUGAGUGAGAUAGUGAAUGUGAAUCCUUUCACUAAUCCUUUUAGAUGUUGUCUUGAUAGAUAUCGAUUGUUAGUUCUUGAGCCAGGAUUUCAUUUUGAAUCUUCGGUUUUCUAUAGGAGAUAUUUGUCAAACACCUGGUAGGCAUCUUUAAUAAUUGUUAAAGAUAUCACUAGGAGUGGAAAUAGAAUUUUAGGGUCGAGGGUGCAAAUACAUGUUUUUUUUUUCAGGGGUGCAAACGUGCUUUUUUCUAUAGAAUAAGCUUUAAAUAGAAGGGUAUAAUUAUAAAUUUUUAAAAUCUUAGGAUGCGAAGGUAAAUUUGUUUCAAAUUUUAGUUAUGGCUAUCUUUUAUCAAUUAUCAUCAGUAACCUCUCCACCAUAUAUAUCGUGGAAAAGAAUCACACAAUCCCAAUUAAUCAACUAGCUACUCCAGCAAAGUCCACACAUAAAAAAUGAGAGUUGGGUCUCUUAUUUUGGUGCGUUUGGAGAUGGGAAAACAUUGAACACCACUCUUAGAUCUCAGAUAUUUUUUCACCUUCCUCAACUUCCUAUGGUGUUUGCUUGCUUCUAUGGUGUGAGACUGUGUGUAGACUCAGACAGCACAAACGCGUGAGGACUUUGUUAGCUCCCACCAUGACCGAGUGACCAUGUACUUUCCUUCCUUUAUGAUUCACAUGUAGCCCCUUGCUUUUCUUUUUAUUAUAUUCCCAUAAUCAUUUCCUAUUCUAUAGAUUUUUCUACACUAAAGCUUUUGUAAAGAAAAACUAACAUCGUUCAUUCAUGCGCUUUUGACCAAAUUUUUUCCUUGUUAGUGUUGUCCCCAUGCUCCCACUGAGAUGACCUCUUUUGCUCUUAUAAACGAAGUGAAAAGUGAACUUUCCUUGGUGAGAUAGGUUUUUUUUUUUGGCUAUUUUGAUUUGCAUGCUUUAAUUUUUUUUCUUUGAUUAUCCUUACUGUUAAUUCUAAAUGAUCUCUCUGCUUUUCAGGCUUUAUCCAAGUGUUUAGUUUCCUGGUUUUCUCAAGAAAUUAUUGUUCCCGGUUCGGUUGGUUUUUUAGACAUAAACCGGACCGAACCAGACUGCGAACACCCCCAAGCUCAAUAGAUCCUAAUAUUUUGUCACCAAAGAAAGAAAGUGAUAAUGUAUUCAGUUCAUCCAUCCAUACGGCCAGAGCUUAAUUUGCCGAUGGACUCUCCUCUUGUGAACAAGUUUAUACAUUGUGCCAAGGAGGUUGCAGAUGGUAAUCUGGAACUUGCAGAUUUUCUUUUCUGCGAAAUGGAAGACCUGAUGGUUGCUGAAACCAGUGAAGUAACUAAAAAGGUUGUUAAAUACUUUGCUGAAGGUCUUGUUCGGAGAGUCCAUGGAGUAUAUCCUCGAAAUCCUAUGCCGCUAAUUCCAUUAGGCGCAAAGCUGUACAAAACCUAUGAUAAUGAAAAUUCUCCUUUUUACAUUUUUGCUAGCAUCACCACCGAGCAUGGCAUUCUGGAGGCCUUACCUAUUGGAAGCUCGAAACCGUUCCACUUUAUUGACUUUUCCAUCAUGGCAGGUCCCUGGUAUUGGAAUCGUUGGAUGGUGCGAUAUGCAGGCUUGAUUGGUCCGGCAACACUUCUCCGGCUAACUAGUAUCCGUCCAAAACUGUCCGAAAACGAUGAGUAUCUCCAAGAAAGUCAACGGAAAUUUGCUGAAUUUGCCCGAUGUUUGGGAGUGGAUUUUGAUCAUAGAGAAUUGGUUGCUGAAAAUGUGACUGCUAUAACAGAAUCUGUGCUGAAAAUUAGAAGGUCAAGCGAGGGUGAGUUUAUAGUUGUGAGAUGGGCAUUUGAACUCCACAAAUUGCUUGCACUGGAAGGAGCGAUCGAGAAAGUGUUGUCAAAACUGAGGGACUUAAAACCUGAUAUCAUGAUAGUCAUUGAACAGGAAGCAAACCAUAACUGUUCAGAUUUCUUCACUCGGCUCACUUCAUCAUUUGAAUACUACUACAGUGUAUUUGAAUCUUUAGAGCGUUUUACGGAACAACCAUGUACCAGGAUGUUACUGGAGAAGCAAUUGAAAUGGCAGAUUAAUAACGUGGUUGCAACCAAGGGCAUUGACCGCAUAGAGCGGCAUGAGACCUUGACUUGUUGGAAAGAACGGCUGCGUCAAGCUGGGUUUCAAUCAGUUCAGCUAUGGUCCAGUAAGUUGAAAGACUGUUCUUUGACUGACUUUCCUGAGUUCAGAAUAGUUCAAAACAAUGGCUUUCCUACGUUAUGCUUGCCCAAUCGUCCUGUAGCAGUCGUGUCAGUUUGGAAACCUGAUAAUCGAACUCAACUGAUCAACAAUAUUGGUACUGAUCAUUCUUGAUCUUACUCCACCCCUGCUUCUUGUUAGUCUUCUUAUGGGGUAAUUGUUACUAUAAAUUUUUGUUUUGGUGACCAGGAGGCAAGAGAAUGAUCGACGAUCUUCAUUAUCCUGUCACUAUACAAGACAGAGGCAAAUCUCCAAUUGGGACAUGUGGGCUCGAAACACUGCGAAGUAAGUAUUCUUAGACUCUACACGACAGAGGUAUCAUUCUAUUUUUUGUCUAUUUAAUCGGUUUGAUUAAUUUUCCUCAAAUUUUUCUAGAAAUCCCCUUUGCUCUUCUUCACAUGUGUAUAGCUCUCAAUUUAGAAACAAGGCCCGUAGAUGAAAGAAAAAUCAUGAACUAACAGGUAUUGUUAGAAGAAGUUGAUUGGAAUUAUUGGAACCUUAUAGGAGAUGGAAUUAAUCUAGCAUUUGGGGGGUUGAUUGAUAAUGUACAAAUUAAUCUUAGGGAAUGGAAUUAAAACUAAUCAUCAAAACAUUGAUUAUUUUUAUCAGAAUCUUAUACACUGCUUUACAGUUUACUAAUAAUAAUAUUUCUUACAACUCAUUCAGGGAAGGAAGGAGAAGCUAGGUGAAAAAAUCACAACUAUUCAGGGUCUGGUUUGCCCUUUUGGAAAGGUGAACGAACAUUGAAUCCUUCGCUUCUUAAUCCAUAAACUAAACAGAAGGAAUUAUAAACAGAGAUUUUUUAUCUUUCCUGUUUAUAAAGUACAUGAAGUUGUUCUUUUAAAUUUUACACUAACCUGACUCCUCUCUCUCUCAUUCUUCAUCUAGUCAUUUGGCUCAAAUUUAACUUAUAGGAGAUAAAGAGGAUGACUUGGGGUGUGUUGAUGUGUUCCACUUUUGCAGACGGAAACAGCUUCUGUCCUGUUCGAAUGUAUUGAGUAUAUCCGUUUCCUUCACGAACAAAUUCAGGUGGAUAUUUUUCCAUAUUCUUAUACUCUUUGCAACCAAGUUAUAAUUAGCGAGAAGCAUGAAGUUAAAAUAUUGAAUUACUCAUGCCCUUUCUCGUGAAUAUUUGGUCAUGGAAGUUAUAAAUCUUAUUUUCCUAUGGUCUCCCUCACCCCCUUGAUUGUUUUAGAUUCUUAGCUUCCCUUACUUGGGCACUGCAUCAUCAAGCAUGAGGAUCCAACAAGAGUCUGUAAGUGUCUAUAUAUAGCGAAUUUUUACUUCAUUUCCUAAUGCAAGACUAAGAUUUCUCUGUGAGCAUGCGUAUGAGGAACUAAAGCAGUUGUGGCUAAUUGUAUUUAGUAACAAAUAAAAUACCGUUAACUAAUGCAGAGAGAUCAAAUUUGUUUUAGGUUCAUGGAGAAAGAAAUUGUGCAUUUCUUGAACACCCAGUUCAGGUAUUGCUUUACUUGAUCCAUCACCUCCAUAAAAAGCAACUGUGAAGGUUUCUUACACACACACACACACAUCCAAUAAUGACAACUGUCUGAAAAGAGAAGGAUUUCCCAACCACUAGCCAGUUUUCUUUUCCUGCAAAUAUUUGUUAAUAUACAAACGUUAUUAAGUCUUUCGUUUGACUAAUUGUGCUUUAAUACGACACCUUUUGGUGUUUAUUAAUGCUAACAACCAUCAUGAUUACAUUAACCAGUACCUGAUCUUAAAAUUGUUUUUGUACAGAAGUUGGAAAGUAAAAAUAGCCUUAAAUAGUAGCACCUCAGCUCUCUUUAUUGAUUACAUUUAAUAACGUGUGUAUCAGGAUAGCCAAGAUAAGGCGAAGGACUUGAGGAGUAGAGGCCUGUGCUUGGUUUCUGUCUCUCACUCGGUUGUCUGAAUGUGACAGAAUAAUAUCGGGGGUGGGUUUUGAUUGAGCAUGCAAAAUCCUAAGGUUGAUCGGAAUUUGAAUGAAUGAUGAAAUGUAGUAUAACAUUAUGAGUAGUCUUUCGACAGCAACAUCUUAAUUAAGAUUAUGAUGUCCAUCAAUUAUUUCUGUGCAUCCUUUAGUUUCGAAAGAGUUCUUGUUGAUCUCUCAAUACAGUAUAAAAAAACUGAUUUUUACCACGCAAACACAGUUGAAUUCAACAUGUAAGCAGAGUCAUCCUCAUCACUCUGUUACAACUUUAGAUACCCAACCAGUUCACGAUCAUAAAUGUAAAAAAGCAGCCAAAUAAGAUACUCCAUGGAUAAAAUGGUAAGGCUUAUGAAUCAAACACAGCUUAGGAACUUUCACUAAAAUGAAAAUAAUAUUAUUCCAUAAUCUCAAAGAAUUUUUAAGGGAAUCAUUAAAUUAUCACCGAAGGAUGAAGAGUUACAAUCUUUCAUCAACAAAAAAUUAAAUUUUAGAAUGAAAAGGACAUAAUAAAGUCUCCACCUCUCAUUAAUGAAAAAUACAUGAAGAAAGAACGUAAUCCAAUUCAGAGACGAGAGCAAGCAUUACACCUCUGUUGUGUGCGUGUGGAAGAUUUCGUCUCUGCUUUGAAAUGGGAAGUGGAACAGAGGAGUCUAAAAAUGGGUCAAAUUCAAUUCCCUUUACGGGCUUUGGAGGAAUGGGCCUUGCCUGAUGAUAGCUUAAUUAUACUAAACAACGUUGUUUUGAAUACAGCCAGUCCUUCUAACGGUCAAAAGUUUUGAUUUCCAUCGAAUAUAAAGCCAAACCGAACCCUCUCUCUCCGAAUCUUCUUCAUCUUUUACACUUUGGGUCUUCAAAUUUCUCUCAAACAAAACCCUCACCGUGUCUUAAGGCAGAGCAUGGAGAGAAAGAUUAUAGGAAUCAAGCUUCCCUUCUAAGGUAUGACAGCUAUAAUAUUUCAGGGCAUUAAUGAAAGAAAUCUGACACUUAAACUCCUAAGAUCCUUCCAUGUAGUAGUAGUGUGGAUAAUGCCACUUGCUACUCAGGAACAUUUUCAAUUUCUUGAAAUAUUGUCAGGAUUGACAGAGAGUGACCUUAUGGCAAAUGUAAAACCACUACCACAGUAAACAUUCAAGGAGGCUUCUUUCUUCUGAAUAUCAGGGCUUAGACUGACUGUUUGAUGGAUAGUUUGAUCAUUUGUAUUCCCCAGGCCAAGUUGACCGUGUUCACCCCAACCCCAUGUCUUUAUUUCUCCAUUCACUGUGAACAAAAAUUUACAAUGUCAUCAACAAAAUGAAAUGACACAUGACUCGGUAAAGAAAAAGAAGAUGGGUAGCAAUUCAUAGUAAAUAAGCUUGCCUGUCACUAAAGCAGAGUGCCAGUAUUCUAUUGUGGUAGCACUUGGAAGUAGUCGGAAAACAAUUUCGAGUUUGUAUAAUAUUGUGGUAGAAUUGUAGAAUUGUUUUUUUAAAUAGUUUUUUUUUUUUCUCAUAGAGAGAGGGAGUUUGCUUUCCUUUUCUUGAACAGUUAAAGGAGCAUUGGGUUGGGCACAAAGCAAAGAAGAGAUGCUAGAUAAUGAAGAAAGCAGUUUACAGGGGAAGAAACUUUAAAUUAAUUGCCUUUUCUUUUCUUCAUAGACAGAGUUCGCUUUCUGUUUUAGGGAAGGGACACCGAACAUCAUUGCAGUGAGAAGUAUCUUCAGACCGAAUUUCCGGGAAUACGAUGUUCGAGCACUGAACUAUCAGAGUAGGACAUAAUUUCAACUAAUUCUUUGUUUCAUUUUAAAUCAGCCUGGACAAAUAAAUGGAUUAAGAUGUGAAGUAUCAGAGUAGGCUGGCUAAUGGAUGCCCGUAUUAAGCUCUGUUUCUUGGCACCUCUCUGGUCUCUCAUCUUGGACCUGCUAAUUUUCCAUAGAAAAGCCUGUGUGUAAUUAAGAGCUGCUUGAGCUACAGAAAUCGCAAGGGAAAAAAAAAACAGUUUUUGAAAACAUUGAGUAAGUUUGUACGUAAGCAUUACGGCUUUAUGCAGGUGGAAAACGAGAACUUGAAAUGUCAUCAUAAGCACAUGAUGAUGUUAUGGCUCGUCCUUCAAGGCAAUUUUUUCAAUACAUGCAAAAUGAAGCCCAACCCUGUUGCCAGUAGGAGCUAAAAGAGAAGGGAGUGGUGGUAAACUGACAAUUUCUUUCCUUCUUUCUUGGGAAACCUCAAUUUAGCCCCUGAUAUAUUACCUUAUUAUUAAUUAAAUCCCCAAACCCUGGAUUUUAUCAAUUUUAUCCCAAACAUUAGAUAAAUCAAUUAUCGAUCUAUCCCAUGGUAGAGACAACUAAAAAUAUUUAGUCCGUUUUGCAUGUGAUUUUCACAUGCUUGGUCUGCCUUUUCAUUUAUGACGUCAAAAUAUGUUAUAAGGAAUAAAUUUAAUGGAAAAUCAUAAAAAGUCUCUCUCUACCUGACUAGCUUGCAUGAAAGGAAAAGUAAAGAAAUUCCUUUUCUUUUACACUAAAAUAUCUUUUAAAACAAAUUCUGAGUUAAUUUUUUUCACUUUAUAUUUAAAAUUACUUAACAAGCACAUAUAAAUUAUAUAAAAAAUACCUUAACUGAUCAUGGACAACAAAUAAUAGAUGGCGUGUUACACUGUUUAAUUUCAAUUGCAUUUGUGAAAAAUUUGAUAAAAUAAAAGGUUUUGGAUUAUUAAAUAAAUUAUAUGCUAAAUAAAACAUGCAUAUUUGAUGGAGGUUGAUCAUCAGCAUCAUAUUUUUUAUCCUCUUCAAACUCGCCAUUUCCCUUUCGUGGAGUUGAUUUUAAUUCGCUAGACGAGAUCUCAACAACUCAAGCUCUUGUUCUUUAAUUGCCACGAUAUUAUAGAUGCCGCAAGUCUCGCAAGGUUUCUAGAUAUCCAAUACUAAUGAUUACUUAGCAUGACCAGGGAGGAGAAAAAAACAGAAAAAUUAAUUAAAUUAAAAAAGUUAAAUGAAAAAAUUCAACCGAAAAAAAUAAAUCAAAUUAAUUAAUUUAAAAAAUCCAAUAUAGUUAUGUUUUGAUUUCAAAAUUCUAAAAUCUAAUGAAACCAAACCGGUUCAAUCAAUUAAAAAAAAUAUAUAAAUACUAGAUUUUUAUUCAAACCAAAAAGUAGCCCCCCCAGCCAGCCGGAUCGUUUCUCAUUUCUCGUCUGUGUUUUUACCUCCUCUAUCCUGUGUCUACCAAAGCCAUCUCUGCUGGCAAAUAAUUAAUUACUAGCCAUUCCCUUCUCUUCUCUUCCACUCUUUUUAUUAUUAUUAUUAUUAUUUGCUGGUGAGUUUUCCACUCCUUCCCUGGCACUAAAUAAAGCAGUUCACAAGGAUGAAGAAACUUUAAAUUAAUUGCGUUUUCUUUUCUUCAUAGACAGAGUUCGCUUUCUGUUUUAGGGAAAGAACACUGAACAUCAGUGCAGUAAUGAGUCGUAUCUUUUGACUUCACUUAAAUAAUUAAACUGAUCUCAUCAUCAGAUUGUGAUAGCAAACUUCUUGGAAGUGAAUCAAUUCCUUGCUGUGGAGUUGAUGCUGUUAAAUAAGAUCUCAAUUGCUCAACCUCUCGCUCUUCAAGCUUAAGCAUGCGCUCAAGCACUCGCUCUUCGCGCUCAUGCUCUCGCUUUUUAAACUCAAGAUCUCGCUUUGUAUCUGCCACAAUCUUUUCCAGUUCUUUCAACCUCUUCAAAAUAGCAACAUUGUUAACUCGACAUUAGUAACUAACAAAUAAUUGAUUAAUCAAUGCAAAUUAUUCUUAUUUAAAAAUAGAAAUUAGAAGUGUCAUGAAUUUCAAUUUAAUUUCUCGUUUUAAUAAAUAUAGAGGUAAUUUGACUAAUUUCCUUAUACUAAUUGAUUAAAACUUGCUACCAAAUUAAGUACAAUCUUGCUUUCAAUGCAUGCAUGCUGUUCGGAGUAAGCAAGUUAAGUGCAACCUUGAUUAAGGGGUGUUUGUGAGUGUUAUAAUAGUAGUUUUUUAAAAUAUUUUUUAUUUGAAAAUAGAUUGAAAUAAUAUUUUUAUUAUUUUUUAAAAAUUAUUUUUUACAUUAACACAUUAAAAUGAUCUAGAAAUACAAAAUUAUUAUUUAAAGUAAAGAAAAAUAAAAAAUAUUUAAAUAUUUUUAAAUCGCAAAAAUAAACAAGGUUUAAAUAAAAGAAUGUGUGGUGUAAAAACUUGGGCAACACUAGAUAAAGAAAAUGUACAUAAGGUAUUUCUGAAAAUAAAACAACAGAACGUGAAUAUCAAAAAUAGCUUAUAAUAUUAAGAUUAUUAGUUAGACAGACUAUUAAAGACAUUGAAUUUAGCGGAAGAAAAAGAGUGGCAAAGUGCAAAGUAUGGAAAAUUAACAGGUCAUCAAUUUGUCUUUUCUUUGGAAAAAAAAAAGAGAAAACCUCGUACGAUAAUAUUAAAUAAAAAAUACUAAAAAGACACAAGUGAUUUAUCACAUUGUUUUUACUCUUUCAUCUUUAUUAAAAAAAAUAUUAUGUUUGCAACAAGAGUUACGUACAAUUAUCUUUACCAAAAAUGCAUUAGUUAUUAUAAAAUUUAUUAAGGACAAAAUGGUCCAGAUAUGUAUCUUUUGCUAUAGUAUCAUAACUGAUUUGCACAUGAAAAAAAAAAAAAAUAAGGCUUUGGGCAAGGGGCUCUUUUAUCUUUUGCAAAAACAAAAACAAGGUUUUAAAGUAUUGAGAUGGAAAUGAAACAUACCUCAUCGGGACCUGACCCUGACAUGGCUGCAAUACCUUUCACAUAUUUGUCUCUAGCCUUGGAAUAUUCUUCUUCCUCCUCCUUGUGAUAGUAAUUGAAUUUAUUAUAAGAUAUUCAAGUAGUCAUCCGUUAAUAAAAACAAGUAUCUAAUAUUAAUUAUUUAUUCCAAAUUUUUCUUAGACGCAAAGGCAUCAAUAUUACAAAAAAUAUAUAUUAAAAAGACACCAGUGAUUUAUUAUGCUUCUAAACAUAUUGUUUUUACUCUUUUACCUUUAUGAAAAAAAUGGUUAUGCUUGCAAUUAGAGGUACAAUUACCUUUACCAAAGAAUGCAUUAGUCAUUAUAAAAAUUAUCAAGGACGAAAUGAUCCGGAUAUAUUUCUUUUACUACAGUGUAAUAACUUAUUUGUCCUUGAAAGCAAGAAAAAUUAGAUUAUAUUUCUUUUAGCAUAUCUUGGCACUUGAUUUUUAUAUAUGAUUUGGUUCUUGUUUCUUUAAUUGAAAUAUAUUUGGUUUUAAAUAAUUUAUUGAGUUAUUUUUUUUAUUUCAUACCCUUAUACUUGAUUUUUGUAUUAUAUUAUAUUUUUAUUCUUUUAAUUAUGGUGUGUUUGGUCUUGAAUUCUUGAUUAAAUUAAUUUGUCUUUGAAUUUCAUCCCUUGAUAUUUUUUUUUAUCAAAUAUGAUCCUCACUUUUUUAUUGUUAAUUUUAGUUGUUCUUAUCCUUUUAUUUAAAUAUUUGAUUAAUUUAUGCAAAUUAUUCUUAUUUAAAAAUAAAAAUUAGGAGUCUCAUAAAUUUCAAUUAAAUUUCUCGUUUCAAUAAAUAUAGAGGUAAUCUGACUAAUUUUCUGAUAUUAAUUGAUUAAAACUUGCUAUCAAAUUAAGUACAAUCCUGUUUUACAUGCAUGCAUGUUGUUUGAAGUAUGCAAAUUAAGUGCAACCUUGUUUAAAUAAAAGAAUGUGUGGUGUAAAAACUUAUGCAACACUAGAUAAAGAAAAUGUCAUAUUAGAAAAUAAAACAACAGAACGUGAAUAUCAAAACUAGCUUAUAAAUAAAUUAGAGGCGGAAGCAAGGGGGGCAAGCAAGGGCCCGGGCCCCCCUUGCAAUUUACAAUUUAUUAUUUUUUUAUUAGAUAAUUAGGUAAUUAAAUAUGAGGAAGUAUUUUAUUUUAUUUUAUUUUAAAGAGGUGGGCUGUGACUUCACUUUUGAUUUCCUUUGAAUUUAUUCUUGACUUACAUGGAAAAGAAAAAAAAUAUAAAAACAUUAUUUUGUGAAAUAAAAAACAGAGCUACUAAUUUACCCUAAUAUAAAUCCUGGUCGAUCAAAAACAAAAAGAAAAACACUAAUCACGAGCAAACUUUUUCUACAAAAAAAUUGAAGUAGAGCUACUAAUUAAUUUAUCUUUCAUAAAAUAAAAUAAGAUAAUUUAAAUUUAAAAUAUAUUUUUGUUUUGUUUUGAAAUGUUUGUUAAUAAUUUGAUGAGGAUUUUUUAUAUAUAUAAUUCUACCAUUUUUUCUCUUUUUUUUUCCUCUCAGAUCUGCUAGUUCUACCAAUUAUUUUUUGAAUUCUUGUUAUAGUGAUAUUUUUUUCUAAAUAAUUAGAUAUAUUUUAUUGGUUUGUUUUGAUUAUGCUUGGAUUUUUUUUAUUAGAAGAGCCACCAAAAUUAUCAAUUUUUUCUUACGAUAUAUGUUUUGAUUUUAGGUUGAACCAUGAAAAAAAUAAGAAUUUAUUCUUUUUUUGAAAAAAAUAAUUGAUAACUCACAGCCUACUAAACGAGUUUUUUUUGCGAUGAAAAUUGUUAAAACAAAACUUCGCAAUAAGAUGGAUGAUGAUUUUCUUGCAAAUUAUUUGAUUGUCUAUAUAGAAAAAGAAGUUGUUGAAAGAUUCACAACUGAUAUGAUAAUCAAUGAUUUCUAUUCUAUGAAAAAACGAUGAGCAUUAUUAAAAUAAAUAUGUAAGAAUCAUUCUUUAUUAUUUUUUGCUUUAUUUCAAAGUUUAUCAAACAUAAAUAAUGCUUCGUUUUAGCUAAUGUUUCUUAUAUACUUUGUAUGUUUAUAUUUGGUAGGUAUAAAAACCAACAACAUUAAAGUGAUGGAUACAUUAUGAAGAUGAAAUUAACUUCAUUGCUUUGACUCAAUUUGAUAUUAUUCCAAACCUUUUACCUUAUACAAAGGUUAUUAUAUGUUUGUAGUAAAUUAUUUGAAUAAAACUAAAUUAUGUAGGUUUUGUUUUACAAUUAAUGUAAAAUAAAUUAAAACAAAUAUUAUAUCUUAUUAUAUUAAUUUUAACUCCCCUAAUAAAUAAUUCUAGCUCCGCCCUGACUUGUAAUAUUAAGAUUAUUAGUUAGACAACAGACUAUUAAAAGGCCUUUGACAUUGAAUUUAGCGGAAGAGAAAGAGUGGCAAAGUGCAAAGGAUGGAAAAUUAACAGGUCAUCAAUUUGUCUUUUCCUUCAAAAAAAAAAAGAAAGAAAAAACCUCGUACGAUAAUAUUAAAUAAAAAAUACUAAAAAGACACAUGUGAUUUAUCACAUUGUUUUUACCCUUUCAUCUUUAUUAAAAAAAAUAUUAUGUUUGCAAUUAGAGGUAUGUACAAUUAUCUUUACCAAAAAGAUGCAUUAAUUAUUAUAAAAUUUAUUAAAGACAAAAUGGUCCAGACGUGUAUCUUUUGCUACAGUGUCAUAACUGAUUUGCACUUAAAAACAAGAAAAAUAAGGCUUUGAGAAGGGGCUCUUUUAUCUUUUGCAAAAACAAAAACAAGAUCUUAAAGUAUUGAGAUGUAAGUGGAACAUACCUCAUUGGGCUUCGACCGUGACAUGGCUGCAAUACCUUUCAAAUAUUUGUCUCUAGCCUUGUCAUAUUCUUGAACCUCCUCCUUUUUGUUUUUGUUGAAGAUUACGGUGAAACAUUAUUCAAUUUAUUGUCAAAAAUUCAAGUAGUCUUCGGAUAAUAAAAGCAAAUAUAUAAUAUUAAUCAUUUAUUCCAAAUUCUUCUUUGACAUGAGGGCAUCAAUAUUGACUAGACUCAUUAAUAAUCCGACGAUCAUAAAUGAUAAUGAAUUUUUGAGCUAUAAUUAAUGUCAUAAGAACACUUUGGUGUUAAUUAAAUUAGGCUUCAGGAAAAGGGUUCUUUUAUCUUUGGCAAAAACAACGUGUUUACAUUCAUACCCUUAAAGGACAAAAGAAAAAUAGCUUGGGCAGAAGGGCUUCUCAGUCUUUACAAUUUUUUUAAACGGCAAAAUUACAAUAUAACAAUUAGAGAUUUGCCGGAAACAUAGAAUAAGUAUAACCUCUUACCACAUCCAACCGUUUUAAAUUAAAUGACAUCCAAUUAAAAUCAUUUUAUUAAUAAAAUAAAGAAAAAGAAAUGAAAGCAUUCAAAUGGAAUUUCCAAAAUAAUGAAUAUAACAAACAUAUAUAAAUUAAAAUAAUCUGAUUUGUUAUUUUAUUCUGACACCUAAAAAAAUAGAAUAUACUUGAAAAUAAUUUUUGGUAUACUUACCGGUGCACCUUCUUCAUAUAGUGUGGUCCAUAUGGCCUGUGCGUUCCGUGCGGCCCUGAAGAUCUGUUCGGUCCGUUUAGAGACCAGAACUAAUAUCAUAAGAACACUUUGAUGUAAUUACAGAAUAACACAAGCAAGCUAUUGAGAUGAUGUAUUAUUUUCUUUUAUUUCUCAAGAAUUGAAGCUCAUAUAUACCGGGAUUGAUUUAAUGUAAUUUGAAGUAGAAAUUUGAUUUGACAGCAUAUAACAAGUAGAGUUUGGCCGUAUACAUAGAAUUAGUAUAACCUCUUAACCAUCAUCCAACCGUUUUAAAUUAAUUGACAUCCAAUUAAAAUCACUUCAUUAAAAAAAUGAAGAAAACGAAAUGAAAACAUUCAAGUGGAAUUUCCAAAAUAAUGAAUUAAACAAACAUAUAUAAAUUGAAAUAAUCUGAUUUGUUAUUUAUUCUGACAUCUAGAAAAAUGCAGUAUCCAUCUACGUACUUGAAAAGGAGUGUCUGCUUCAUGAUAUUCGUAUUGUGCGCUCAAGCCAAGAUGUAGCAUGAGAAGGGAGACAUGAGUGAGUAACUCUCCACCUCUUCUCAGUUGUUGAGUAUGUUCUUUCCAUGGACAAUGAGCUGCUGCAUACGCAACCAUUUCUACCCACACUUCAUUUAUAAUCCUCCAUCGCUUCUCAUCAGGUCCCAAUGAAAGCAAUUGCCUGGCGAGCACAUCCACACCACGUAACACUGACUUUUCUGUUUUCCAGUGACUUUGAAAAGUUAGAUCAUCAUAACCACGUGAUUCACUGUUGCGCCAGUCUCGCAAGGUACGUUGAUAUCCCUCAUCAUCAGGACCACGAUCUUUUAGACCCCACAAUUCUCGCAAGGUUUCUUGAUAUACCUUAUCAUCACCGAAUCCUUUAGAGAGCAUAUUUGGUCUUAUCACCAAAAGAUACAUCAUGUAUUCAGAUAGGCAUCUGCUUGUUUCAUACUCUUUAGAUACAUUACUUCCAUCUUUAUUAUCAACAAUAUAGCAAAUAUCUGUUGCGAGAUACCAGACAAGAAUGCUCCGACUGAAUUCUACUUCAGUCGUGCACCACUUGUACUCCUUUAACAGUCCCUCUCUUUCUAGCACACCAUCUCCCCUCUGACCUAUUAUUUUACUUCUGAGAUUCUUAUCAAAGACAUUCAAAUCUUCCUUAAUCUUCUGAGCUUUCUCUCGCAGAUGUUCGAAAAUAAGACCUUGCAGUUCUCCAUUCAAGUCUUUCCGAUUCACGUGCAUCUGCCUCAUCAUUUCAUCGAUUCCCAGCAAUUUCAAGCAUCUAGGUGGCUCGCUUUCAAUUGAAGAGCUUAUCAUGUUAUACUGUGAUAUGGAUCUCGACCACCUCUCGCUUCUAGUUAACUUCCUUAUCAGAGAAUAAAUUGCACCAGUCAGGGCGUUCCCUCCUUCAUCAAUCAACCAAAUCAUUGUCCAGUCAGACAAAACAAGGCAUAAAAAAGCAUAAAACUCGAGAAAAACAGCGGCCGCAAACAAUAAAUACGUGAUUGCAAUGUCGAUAGUUGAGUAGGCAUGCUUGUCAAUCAGGACUUGGAAGGUAAUAAACGCAAGAAAGUGAGCAGAAAGCUUAUAGAGCGAAGACUGAUUCCGGCACGGGAGUAAAUCAGAGGCGCUUUAGUGUAAAGCAUAUCAUAUAUCAAUCCAAGCUCAACCUCUACCACCUUGAAGGCACCGUCUGCUUCAUUCUUGGAAAUCAGCUCCCGGCUUAUUAUUAGUGAAGGAAUGUCAGGGACAAGAUCCUGCAUCACAAACUUGGAUAUAUAUGAAAAAACAUAAGCUUGAAGAAGAUAAUUCCUGGAGGUCUUUGGAGGAGUUUUGAUAUUCUCAUGACGAUAUAGAACGCCAAAAAUCUGAGAGAGAAGAGUUUUUCAAACUCUUGGAGCAUGAAGACCAGAGCACCCAAGUCCUCUCUGCGUACUUUACAAUGCCAACAAUGAACAUUGGGAUCGCUAUGAAUGAGGAUACCGCUACCCCAAGACCUUGAGAAGACAUAAAAAGCCACUCCACUUGGACUACAAGACCAAGUAAAUGCCUUAACCACAACUCGUUAUCUUCAAUCGAGUAUGCAGUGAUUGUGUCUGGGCCACCAAGGUGCAGGAGUAGAAAAGGUGCCCAAAAUGCCUGGAUGGAAUUGUUUGCUUUCUCUGAACUGUCACCUGAUGAAUCUCCUUGGCUCCUGGCUAGAUUACCCAGUGCAACAGUUGCCACCUGUCUGCUGAUAGGUAUGCAGACCAAACGAGAAUCCUGAUCCAGAUUCUGCCAUGGUCUUUCGCCGAGACCAAAUAUGAUGAGGAUGGUUUGUAGAAGAGACUAAGCAAAACCAUUCCUCGAAUCUCCCAAUUGUUCCAUAAAUUUAAGACUUCUUCAGGCAAUUUUUAAGCAUUGUCAUCUUUUCCUCAACUGUGGAAACUAUUCUCUCGAUGAACCCUUGAAAAAACUGUUUUGUAAGAUGGAAAAGUAAAUGUGGAUAUCUUUGAAAAAAUCUCUUAAAAUGAAUAGCGAAAAGACUCUUAUGAGAAAAGAAUUCUGCAGUAGAUUUUGGGUAAGGUAUCAUAAAAUAGGAGUUGAUGCAUAUUGUUGUUGCAGCAUGCAAAGAAAAAGGUAUGGGAUGCAUUACAAAUUAAUUUAUGGAAGUGAAUUCUGGGAUAUAUCUCCUUUAACUCAAAGCUUGCAUUACCAGCUUUUGCAAACCAUAGUUACAUGUACAAGUAAGAAUUUGGUACCUGCCAUGGGUACAAAGCAAAGAGAUGCUCAAUAGUAAUAAAGAGAUGCUGCAAGAAUGAAGAGACCUUAAACUAGUCGCUUUCCCCCCUUUUUCUUUUCUUGAUAGACAAUAGACAUCGCUUUCUGGACACUCGAAAGAAGGAAUUUUGAAUAUCAAUAUGAUGUUUGAGCACUGAACUUCCCAAAGGUUUGAACAUGUGACUACCAUUUACUACUAAUAAGUUUCUGCCUUGCACUAGUGGAAUUUUGCAUCUUCAAAACAAAGAAAAAUUUCAGAAAUUUGGAUAGAUAACCUAUUCAACGAUAGUCAUCCUUAAUGAAAUCUAUUAGAAAAUGUGGAUGGAAGAACUCAAUUGUAAAGUUUUUAACCUUUGGAGAUCCAAGUUCUUGAAGAUAAAUUUAAUUGAGAUAUGGCUCAUAAUUUUGAUAUUUAUUUAGCCUUGUCCCUAGUAGUUAGUAGAGUGUUGCUGGCAAGUAAAUUAAUUAAUGACAACGUGCAUAAUUUAAAUAAACAAUGUUUAAAAGAGAGAGUUUUACUAGCAUUGUUCAUGUCUUCAUAAUAUCUUAAUUUUAAGAGACUGAUUGGGUGAUUAAGGAGGUUUUCUAUUAUUUUAGAGCAUGUCAGACCAGCUUUGCAAAUCAUUAUUACAUAAGCUAUGGUAGUUGGCUAGGACAGAGAUUGCCUUCAUUUUUGGGAAACUUUAGGUUCUUUUUUGGGUACCAAGCAAAGAAGAGAUGCUAAAUAGUAAAAAGAUGCAGUUUGCAAGAUUGAAUUGGCUAUCCUUUUUCUUGAUGGCAGAGUUUUCUUUCUUUUCUCGAACACUUGAAAGAAGGAAAACUAAAUAUCACUGAGGUAAGUAGUAUCUUCUAGCUGAAAUUUUGCAGUAAGAUGCUUGAACAAUGAACUCGCUAAAGGUUUGAAAAACAUAUAAAAUUAUUCUUGAAACUUUAUUUAAUAGUUUAAAAUAUUUGCUUAGAUAGUUCUUUUAUAUUAUUAACAAUAAUAUGGAAUUUGUUUUUAAUAAUUCGGUAAGUACACUAUCAAAGCUCCUAGUGAAAGACUUAAAAAUUUUGCAUUCGAGCUGUGACCCAAUAUUACAGGCAUUUCCCUUCUUCUGGCAAAUGCAUACAGCUUCUGGAAAAAAUAAUUUAUUAAACCAUAACGUUUCAGUUUCUUUCUCUCUCUCUAUUAUUAUUAUUUUUUUUUGAUAUGAUUCCUUUUGGUAAUUUGUUUUAGUUUCUUCAGAUUAAUUUUAUGAGGUUUGGUUUUCUUUGGAGGAUUUUUCUUUAAAAGAGAUUUCUUGGACGUUAAGGGAUUUCGGGUCUGAGUGUGAGAUAUUUUAUUGGUAGGUUACUUUCUCGAGAGGAUUUAUUGAAUAUUACACUAUUAUUAUUUUGGGUUAAAAGGUAUCAAGAAUUGGAAUCUAGUUCAAAACAAUUCGCCAAUCGGUAUCAACACACUCAUUGGUCCGGUGGCCGAGGAGUCCCCUCUCGUUCUACCGAUCAAACCAAAAGGGAUGUGAUCUUCUGUUCCAAUCGCUGAACAUGACCACCCAGGAAAAAGGUCAGGGAGGUCUUAGCACGUGCAGUUCUAAAGAUAUGCUCCAGUUCAAAGAACACGCCAGUUUUUAGAUGUGUUUCAAAGCAGGAGUGAUAUUAGUGAAUCCCCAAGUCACUUGAAACAGAACAAAUUAGCCAAGGUUUAAAACUUGGUCACAACAUGAGAUAUAUGCUACAAUGAAGUCGUCCAUCAAGGGGAUUAAAACAUAUACUAGUUCCCUGCUUGAAGUUUCUUCACCCAUGGCAGAUUACAACUAAUAGCCACUCCUUUAAACAUGCAGAAUGAAUCUUUCAAUCUGAUACAUUGAAAGCAAAAUCAUGAUUUACACUUUCUGUGAAAUAGCCACCUUGAUUAAACCAGCUUUGUUGGCAAGGCUGCAAAGAAUUUCUUCAAGAAGCAUCAAGUUAAAGCUGCUACCAAGGUUUCAGGUCACCGACUGGGCCUGCAGUCCAGUUUAAGAUCUUCUCACCGGCCUUCAGGUAAACACUUCUAUCAUGAGGCAAUUUUCGUGCAAGUCCAUUUAAGACUCGAUGGAAAGCAUCUCCUGCUUGAGCAGGUUGUGGGAAUAGCAUUGUCUGCUUCAUUGAAGGGUUUGCAAGCAGUCUCUGCUUCCUCAAUAUCACUUCAGGUGGAAUGGAAGUGAGUAUGGUGUCCAAAUUUGGAACAUCUUUCUCGUCUACAAAUACCCCAAUUUCUUCCCAUGGGAUUGCAUCAGCAAAGGGUAAAACAAUGUCGUCUGCUAUAAUAUCACUGCUUCAACCAAUCUAGGACUCCUUGGGCUCAGCCAAGGGGACACAAACAGAAAACAACUCGUUGCAUGUCUUCGUAAUAUGUUGUUAGGUGCUCUGUGGAAAAGUCAAAAAGUAGAUUGUCCUUGAAGUUCUCUCAGACUGCUGCUCGUGCACCUCUGUAAACAUAUGAAACAAAUUGAUCGGUGAUCUCCACUUAAGCCUCUAUCACAUAUAGGAUCAUUGCUAAAACAUGAAAUCUAUUCUCUCUUCCAAUUAGCUUGACAAUUGAAUGAAGAAGUCCAAAUAUUGUAUUUGACUUCUUUCGUUCUAAUUGAAAAAUAUGAAAGGGUCAUGAUUCUAGUUUCAUAACCUUUACCAUACAGGUUUCAUUUCUGUUGAUAUUUUGUUUAAAAAUAUAUUUAAGCCUCACAUUUUAUGGACAAGAGUUGAAGUAAUUGAACAUCUAAUCACUUUCUUAAACAUGUGAGAACUAUGUGAGAAUUACCUAGCAUAGUAGCCACCUUCUGGGUCAUUUCCUACAUCAUAAAACAAUCCUCUGAAGUAAACAAAAGUUGACCAAGGUGUUUUUUCAGGAAUCAGGUGGGUUUGCAUUUUCUGUGGAGGAGCAUAUGGAGGAUCUGUAAUGGAGCCAUCUUUUAAGCAAACAUGAUUUCUUUGUCCAAAAUUUUGCACCAAGGUGGCACGUUGGAGCAAGGGAAGAAUUCCUCUUUCGAUAGCCUUCUCUUCCUCCAAAAAGGAUAAAGAAUUGAGGAACAUAAAUUAAGAGUUGAUGGAAAUAAAAAGAAAUUGUCAGAAUGCAACACUUUAUUACUAAUAUAUAUCAAUAAUUAGAUAUACCAGACAGAUAGCAACCUCAACAGCUCUUCAGAAAACCACAUAUUCAGGUCAAUUGAUUCAAAAAUCAGAAUGCAUUGAGAAAAUUUGUCAAUAGAAUCUAAGGGAAACAGGAGAAGGUAAAUAAAAAAGAAAAGGUUUACUCACUUGAUAGUGGAAGCAUGCACCAAAGUUGUGUGGCACAACAAAAAAGUGAUCAGCACCUUCAGUCCGAUUCCAAUAAUGCCAGUUUGAAGAAAUAAGAUGUAUAGCACUUCUCAUCAAUCGCGGUGAUUUGAAAGGCAAAGGAAGGUCAUUUGGAGUCAAAUCACAAGUUGUAUAUACAGGGGCAUAAAACCAAUCAGCUUCCUUGGGAUUGAGUGUUCGUACAGGGCUGGAUAAUAGGAACCGAUGCAUAAAGAUCUCAGCUGCGAACAUGUGGGUGAGGCAUCUUGGGUCCUUUUGCUGAAUCUUCUUGUUGUAUUUGCUUGGAAGUUUAUAGACAAAAACUUUCAGCCUUCCAACAGGAUCAUCUUCCAAAACAUCCCUGGCACUACCUGCAUGUUGUAUAACCCAGUCAUACUUAAAGAUCUCUCAUUCAUUGAACUCCAAACGACUUUUAUAGUUUCUGAAGUCUACACAUUAUCAAAUUCUGAUUCAACAAAUCCACUAUUCGUAAAAGAAAACUUAAUGUUUCAUUUAAAUCAUCAAGAACAAAACCUUCAUUUUACCCUUUCCUUGCACUCACAUUUACCAAAUCACAUCUGAUAUUGUCAAUUGUUUUUAUUAUCUUUCACAUUGUUUUCCACAAGUCCCUAUUCCAAGAUGUCAUGUGUGUUUAAUAUACAAUACUUGGACAGUUACAAUGGCUUAAGCAUUAUUAUUUUUAACUUUUCAAUCUCUAACUUGAGACAAAUUGACCCUCCAAUGUGAUCUAGCUUUCCAGACUUGGGCAGUUCCUCUUCAUAGUGCAUGUAAUAUAAGGACAUAGAACAAACAGAAACAAAGAAUUAGGAAAGCUCUUUCAUCAUAUGCUAUGGCAACCUAUGUCAUCAUUAAUAGAAACAAGGAAUCAUGCUUUUCCUUGACCAAGUCUUUAUUAGCAUACGAUCAAUUGAGGUACAAGCUUAGCCAUCUCAACCAGAUAUGUUCACCUAGGUGAAGCUCAAAUAAGCCCUCAAGAAGUUGAAUUUACUAGAAUAGCUAACAAUCCAGUUAGUUUCAACAAUAAAUGUUAAGCCUCAAUUCUUCAAUACAUCAACAAAGAGAUGAUAUCACUGUUAUACUGGUAGACAUGAACUAAACUGGUAGACAUUCAACAAUCAAACUGAAGUCAGCAAAUCAGUUUAAGUAAAUCCCAAAAAUCCACCAACCUAACUAUGUAAUAUAACUAGCAAAAAAAAAAAUAACUUCAAAUAAUUUAGACCUACAUUACAGUUAAAAGACCAAAUAUUACCACAAAUCUAUCUACUAAUCAACUGAAAACUAUAUUAGAUCCCAAAUAACAUAAAACAAGAUAACCCAACAAAAAUUUAUAAACUUUAACGAGGAAUAAUUUAAAGAAAAACCAGCCUGAAAUCCUCUCAGUGCGUUGACUCCUGCCCAGCUCCACAGCACCGACACUCAAAACAAGACCAGCAAACCAAAUAACCACAACAAAAACCCACUUCCAAAUCUCCAUUUUCUUGCUUAUAAUCCAAUGAAAUCACACAAAGAAGGAACUUCAAAGAAUCAGAGAGCAAGUAAGGGGGGAUUUCUGGAGGGUAUGCCCACAAAGAAGAAGGCUUUUUUUAGCUUAUGAGGAGAAAUGAGAGAUUUUUGUUCUUCAAAAAUAUUAUUACAGUUGAAAUGUCACAAGUAGUUAAGAGAGAAUUUUAUAUAAAAGAAUUACAGAAAAUAGAGACAGAACCGGAGAUUUUGAUAGGGAAUGCCAAGCAAAUUGGCUUCAAGAACACAUAAUAUUUUUUAAGAUUUUUUUUUUCAAGGUUUUUUUUGUUUUCAAGUUGUGUGUGCUGUGUGGUUUGAUGGAAAGUCCAUCUCAUCACCAGACCGUUGCCAUGUUGUUCAACGAUUCAACCUCCUCUUAUUUAUUUAUUUUCUCUCUCUUUUAAUUAGUUUUAGUGUUUAAAAGUUUGUUAGAUUUAAAUAAUUUGAGGAUUUUACAGUUGAAGCUUAAUCAUGUUUGUUUUUAUAUUUUAAAAGUAUUUUUAAAAUAAUUUAAAAUUUAAAAAAAAUUUAUUUUUUUAUUUUUUUAUUUUAAAUUAUUUUGUUUUUUUAUGUUUUUAAAUUAUUUUAAUGUGUUAAUAUCAAAAAUAAUUUUAAAAAAAUACAAAAAAAUAUUAUUUUAAUACAUUCUAAAUAAAAAAUACUUUAAAAAUAAUUAUAACUACACUCUCAAACACAUUUUUAUUGACAUUAAUAAAUCACUAAGGUGGCUAAUUAAUAAUUAAUGACAAUGAAAAUGGUUGAACUGAGUCAAAUUUGGAACAAUAUUGGUCAAAAUUGUUUAAACAGUAUUUAAUGGAAUAAUGUUCUAAAUAUAAUGAAUUUUUAAUGUAAGAUAAGAAAGUGCUUAGUGAUGUAUAUGUUUUAAGGCAUUUUGAAUUUUUUUAAUUGAUAAAUAAAAAAACAGAUGUUAACUUUAAUUGAAUAAUAAAAAGCUAAUGUUUAUAGUAAAAGCAAAAAAUAGAUAUAAAUUCAUUUUACACAUUUUAAUUUAUUUUAUAUUAAAGUUUAAUUUUUAUUAUUAAUAACACGUGAUUUUUGUUUUUAUAAGAUCACCAUUAAAAUACAAUUCAUUCAUAUAAAUAAAAGAGAAAAAUAAUUGUAAAUAAAUUAUAAUAAUUUUUUUGAAACAUUAUAAAAUAAUAUAUAUAUAUAUAUAUAUAUAAAGACUGAACAUCAAUAUAAAAAGGUUAAGCCAUACAAUUUAAAAACUAAGAAAGAAAGUGUAUUAAUUAAUAUUUAAAUAGGAAAAUGCAAUGAAAAAAAAAAGAGAGAGAUGCCAAGCGCUACUGUGCAUUGUAGGAAAGGCCCACAUGCCUGGUCAGCCAUAAAGAGCCCGGGCUACUAUGGUUUUAUUUUUCUUUUUUUCAAAUCCACUAAAAAAAAAAAUCUCUAACAGGUGACCGGUUAAUAACCUUUCACCUGAUUUAUUGGUUUUCAAUUAUAUGUUAAAUAUAUUUCGAUAAGUCAAAAUCUAUAUUGACCUGUUUAAAAUGAUCUAGAUCCACCCGUUUCAUUGUUUCACUUGUAGGGCAUAUGAAAUCACGUGUCGCCACUUACAAUUUUAGAAUUUUCCAACGUGGUUUUUGAGUUUCUAGCAACUUCUCUAAUUUAUUUUGGACCCCGAAAAGAUCAUUUUGUAAAUUUUAGAUGUUCAAUAUGUGUUUAAAUUAUGGUUAAAAUUUGAAUUUUUAAUGAUUUGUAAAUAUGUGUGAUUUUUGGAUGUGUGUGUAAUUAAUGGGAAAAGGGUGUGUGUGUGUGUUUUUGCAUGUUUUAAAAAAGAUAUUGCAUUGAUUUUACAACAAAUUUGUAAAAUUCUAAAGAAUUUUGGUCUAUAUUUCAAAAAUAUUAAAAUUUAUUUUUGAAAAGGAAAAUAUUCUUGUAAUAUAAUAUAAGGAUAAAAAAAAUAUAAAUGGAGUUAAUAUCUAAAAUAUUAUUAGGGAUAAUAAUUUAUUAUUACUCACUUUAAUAUAAGGAUAAAUUUUUUUUAUAUAAGUUAAUAUCUAAAAUAUUAUUGGGAAUAAUAUAAUUUAUUUACUUAUAAUAUAAAGAUAGAAAAAAGAAUUACAAUGAAUUUUAUCUAAAAUAUUAUUUGAAAUAACAUGAUACUAAAUAUUUCAAUUUCUCUAAAAAAAAACUUAAUUAAAGACAUUUCACCAUUUUAUUAUACUCAAUGUUACAGUGCUUAUAAAUAAAAAGCAUGAGAGGAUGAACUCUUUAAUUUCCUUGAUAUAAUAAUUAUAGUUAUCCUCCUUUUCAUAAAAUUUCCAACCGCAAGAUCACCUACGGAAAAAAUCAUUGCUGAUUCUGUUGGUGAUCUUAUUUCUGUUGAUAACCAGUCAAAGAAGGGAUAGCAAUAAAUAAACCAUAAAAAAAGUUUUUCUUUUCUUUUUUUUUCCCCAUUCCUAUAAGUAUCCUAUAAUAAAUUUUAUUAUAUCUCCCAUUAAUAUUUAUUUAUUUUUAAAUAAGUUUUAUUUUUUUUAGUAAUAUGAGUGUCUGAGCUUAUUUGUAUAUACAUUGAUUAAUUUUACAGGUCUUGAAAUUAAUAAUUAUAUAAACUUUUAAUAAUUUUAAAAUUUAUAAAAUUUGAAGAGAUAACAUUGCUCAUGAAUAAAUUGUCGGUUAGCACUGAAUACCUACGCGUAGAAGGUGACCAAAGCUUGAAUUCCCACCGAAGCUACACGCAAGCAGCAAAUUGAUAAUCAAUUCCCCCUUCUCCACGCCUGCGGUCUAUUCUAGAUGGAGACACGACAGGCGUCCUUCAUGGCAUAACUCUUCUUUCCAUAAUUGUAUAUUUAUAUGCAACAAUCUAUCUCGAUACAGUUUAAUAUUGUAUUCGAACUGUAUUUUUUAAAAUUUUAAUUUUUUUAAAAUUUUUUAUUAAUAAUUUUGAAUCUAUUUUUAUCAUUUUAAUAGGCUAAUAUUAAAAUAAUAUUUUUUGUUUUAAAAUUUAUUUUUGAUACUAUCAUAUAAACAAACAAAAAAUAAAAAAAUAAAUUUGAUGUGAUAUUUCUAAACUUUUGGUAGUUGCCAUGACUUAGGAUCAUAUGCAAUUUGAUGACAUAAGUUCGACUGAAUCCUUGAUUUGAAAAAAUCAACCCUUCAAAAUAUUUAAUUCAAAUGUUUUAAAAAUUCCUUAACAAGAAGAUUUCAUUCUCGAAAAAUUCAGAAAGGCUUCUGCUAUAAAUCUAGUUUAGGUGCUAUUUAAUUAAUAUAACAUAUGCCUAAUAUACUGUGUAUUAUGCUAAAAAAAUAAAAUCCUUGGACUAGUUUAUGUAUCAAUUAAGAGAAAAUCCAUGUUUAAAGUUGUCUCCUUUAUAUUGACUUGGUACAUUUAUUCAGAAAAAAAAUUAAUAAAUUUUUAUUUCAAGAUUUGAACUAGGAAGUAAAUCUCUUUAAUCAUUCUAAUUAAUAACCUCUUAAUAUUAUCAUAUAAAUAAUUAAAUCAACAGUUUCUCUUUAGUAUCGAUGGGCGUGUUGGUCUUUGAUCUUGGAACUGGGAUGCAAGAUUACCUGAUUGUUUUAUAGAAUGGAUAUUCCAACAAGGAUCAAAAUUAAUAGUUUAUUCAUUUAUUGAAAAACAAAACAUACAAAAAAUAGAGAUUUAUUUAAUAAAACAAUUUUCCUUAAUUAAUCAUCGUAUCAAACUCUUAAAAUAGAGAUUUUUUUUUUCCGGUUCGAACAAGUCGUAAAAGUUUUGAGUACUAGUUUAUACAUGGAAGUAAACGCAUUAAUAGCGAGAUUAAAUUAUUAUAGACAUUUAGAGUUUGUUUAUUUUUGUAAUUAAAAAAAUAUUUUUAAAAAUAUUUGAAUUUUUUAUAUUUAAAAUUAAUUAAUUAUUUUUGUUUUUAAAUUAUUUAAAUUUGUUGAUAUUAAAAAUAAAUUUUAAAAAAUAAAAAAUAAUAAUAAUAUUUUGAAUUGAAGUAUAACAUUAUCAUAACUCUUUCUUACACAUCAGGAAAAGAAAUACAACGAAAAAGAAUUAAAAGAUGAUCAAACAUCAUUGAAUUGAAGUAUCUGAUGCUGAGAUCUACUACAUCAAGUCUUCUGACCGUGUGCUGAAAUCACAUUAACUACUUUUCUUUUUAUUAUAGAGUCUCGUAUUUAAUGAACAUGUCACAAACGUGUUCUUCACAUCAUUUGAUUUUACAGUACGACCAUAUUAUUUUUAAUUUUUAAUUUUAAUAUUAUAUUGUUGGGAAAACUAGGAACAAUCGGACACCAAUUUAGCGAAAUAUAAUUCACAAGUCCCAAUUAUUUCCCUCUUUGUGCAGUAAAAACAGAAUCAAUCAAUGACCAAAUAUAAUGCAAAAAAUCACACAAAUUAACACUAAGAUUUUUACGUGGAAAACCCAAUGCGGGAAAAACCACGGGACCGUAGUCCACCUAAAAACUUCCACUAUCAACAAUAAUGGGUUCACAACUGUUCUUCCUCAGAUUCAACUAAGGGAUACAACAUAAUAUCAUCAAGAACAACUUAUUCUCGGAUUACAACAAGAUUAUAAGAGAAUUAUUGGAGAAAAAACUCACAAACUGACAGCCCCGUUUUCUGUCAAAACGGCCAGCUUCCACGCCACCAAUCUUCAAUCUAACCGUCCAGAAUGAAGAGCAACGCGUCUAGAAGCUGCUGUCAAAAUUUCAGCCCGAUCCAACGGUGAACGAGCUGGGAAUCGAAGGAAGAGCACGGACUGCUCUGCUGCCUCUUCUUCUCUUUUUCUCUCGGUUUUCUCUUCUCUCUUGUUUUUUCUACUGCCUCUACAGUGGCAGCUCCAGUUUUUAAUUAAGAGACAACAAGUCUCUUGCCAAUUAAUGUGGUGGUCCCACCAUCACAUGGUGCGGGACCACACACAACAAAUCUCCCCCUCACGCACCAUGUGAGGAAUUCGCCAUACUGGCGAUCAAUAUGUAAACUUCAAUUUAGGAGGCUCUGACAAGCCUGCUUCCCUUUUGCAAAACUCAAACUUCUCUCUCGGUAGAGGUUUGGUCAUCAUGUCUGACACGUUGUCAUCGGUAUGGAUCUUCUCAACAACAAAUGACUUCAUCUCCAUAGCAUCUCGAAUCCAUUGAUAUCUAACCUCAAUGUGCUUUGAUCGAGAGUGAAAAGUAGGAUGCUUACUGAGAUGGAUUGCACUUUGACUAUCACAGUGCAACACAAAGUUCUCUUGAACUAGGCCAAGUUCAUGUAAGAACUUCUUCAUCCACAACAACUCUUUGCCCCCUUCAGUAAGAGCAAUAUAUUCAGCUUCUGUAGUGGAUAAUGCAACACAUUUUUGCAACCUUGAUUGCCAUGAGACUGCUCCCCCUGCAAACUUCAUCAAGUAUCCUGAUGUGGACUUUCUAGAAUCAACAUCACCAGCCAUAUCUGCAUCUGUGUAUCCAUCCAACACAGGUUUAUUAUUACCAAAACAUAGGCUGAAACUAGAAGUACCUUUGAGAUACCUGAGUAUCCAUUUCACUGCUGACCAGUGUUCUUUACCAGGAUCGGAGAGGAACCGACUAACCACACCAACUGCAUGAGCUAUAUCCGGCCUUGUGCAAACCAUGGCAUACAUCAAGCUACCAACUGCGGAUGCAUAAGGAACCUUUUUCAUCUCAUCUCUUUCUUCAUCACUUGAAGGACACUGCUUAGAACUUAGUUUAAAGUGGCUUGCAAGUGGAGAACAAACCGGUUUGGAGUUGCUCAUGUUGAAUCUCUCAAGUACCUUUUGAACAUAUCUCUCCUGAGAUAGCCAAAGUUUCUCCUUCUUCCUGUCACGUGUGAUCUUCAUGCCAAGAAUCUGUUUUGCCGGUCCUAAGUCUUUCAUUGCAAAAGACUUGCUUAACUCUUCCUUUAACAUCUGAAUCUUCUUAGCAUCAUGGCCAACAAUCAACAUAUCAUCCACAUACAACAGGAGAAUAAUAAAGUUUCCAUCUGGAAACCUUUUCAUAAAUACACAAUGAUCAGAAGUGGUCCUGUCAUAACCAUGAUCCACCAUGAAAGAAUCAAACUUCUUGUACCAUUGUCUUGGAGCUUGCUUUAAACCAUAUAGGCUCUUUUUCAACUUGCAAACUAACUGCUCUUUACCUUUUGCUUCAAACCCUUCAGGCUGCUCCAUGUAGAUCUCUUCAUCUAAAUCACCAUGGAGAAAGGCAGUUUUCACAUCAAGCUGUUCAACUUCAAGAUUCAAACUAGCAGCUAAACCAAGCACAACUCGGAUUGAAGACAUCUUGACCACUGGUGAAAAGAUUUCUUCAAAAUCAAUACCCUUCUUCUGACCGAAACCUUUCACAACCAAUCUUGCCUUGUACCUUGGUGUGAGCAAUGUUCAUCAAUUUUCACCUGAACACCCAUUUGUUCUUGAGUGCUCUCUUACCUUUAGGAAGCUUCACUAACUCAAAAGUAUGGUUUUCAUGCAAGGAUUUCAUCUCUUCUUGCAUUGCUUUCAACCACUCACUUUUCUUCUCAUGUGACAUAGCUUCAUCAAAGCAUUCUGGCUCUCCCCCAUCAGUAACCAGCACAUACUCAUGAGGAGAGUAUUUGGUGGAAGGUUGGCGAGGUCUAGUUGACCUCCUCAAUUGUGGCUCAUCUGGAGCUUCCUGCAUAACCUGUUCAGGAAUAACAUCAAUCAUCAUUAGCUGAUUCAGGAUCACCAACUAAUGGCUCAUUAAGAAACCACCAUUAUCAUCAUUUUGCAAAUCUCCCCGUGAUUAGCAGGCAUCAAAGGUAACUGUGGAGUAGGUAUUGGAUUUGAAUUAGAUGGAUAAAAGUAGUAGACUCUGUUUUCUCCUUCUGUUCAAAGUCUUCAAUGGUUUGAUCUUCAAAGAAGAUAACAUCUCUGCUUCUCACAAUUUUCUUCUCCUUUGGAUCCCAUAACCUAUAGCCAAACUCAUCAUCUUCAGAGCCCAAGAAAAUACACUGUUUUGUCUUGCUGUCAAGCUUAGACCUUUCAUCCCUUGGAACAUGUACGAAUGCUCUGCAUCCAAACACUCUCAAGUGUGCAUAAGAGACAUCCUUUCCUUUCCAAACUCUAUUUGGAACAUCAAAAUCAAGAGGAACUGAUGGAGAAAGGUUGAUCAUGGCAACUGCAGUCUUCAUUGCCUCACCCCAAAAGGACUUAGGCAGCUUUGCAUGAGAGAGCAUACAUCUAAUUCUUUCAACAAUGGUUCUGUUCAUUCUCUCAGCCACUCCAUUCUGCUGUGGAGUCUUAGGAACUGUCUUCUCCAACUUGAUACCAUGUUCCCUGCAAUACUUCUCAAAAGGACCUCUGUAUUCACCACCAUUGUCAGCUCGAAUACAUUUCAGCUUUCUACCAGUUUCUCUUUCAACUCUGGCAUGGAAAUCCUUAAAGACAUCAAGCACCUGAUCUUUGGAUUUCAAACAAGUGGCCCAAAUUUUCCUGGAGUGAUCAUCAAUAAAACUAACAAAGUACAAUGCACCUCCAAGAGACUUAUCAAUCAUAGAGCAAACAUCAGUAUGAACUAAAUCAAGAACAUGUGAUCUUCUAUGUGAAGGUGAUCUUUGAAAUGCGACUCUAUGUUGUUUACCAACUAAACAAUGAGUACAUGUGUUCAAGUUCAUACCUUUUAAUGGAAGGUAGUUCUUCUUGGCAAGGAUGCCAAGGCCUUUCUCACUCAAAUGUCCAAGCCGUUUAUGCCAUAAAUCAGUAGAGCAAUCUUCAAUUGCAUUCACCUCCCCUUUGAUCACCUUGGCUUGUGACAUGUAGAGACCCAUCUUUUUCCCUUUAGCAACAAUUAGGGAAUUUCUGGAGAGUUUCCAUUUACCAUCUCCAAAGAAAUUGUAAUAGCCUUCUUCAUCAAGAGUACCUGUAGAGAUCAAAUGUAGGCGCAUAUCAGGCACAUGCCUAACAUCUUUGAGUAGCAACUUGCACCCAGUAUUGGUUUCCAACCAAAUGUCUCCAAUGCCCACAACACUAGCAAUCCCUUGAUUUCCCAUCCUAACUUGACCAAAGUCACCAGCAGUGUAGGAUGUGUAAAAAUCACGUCGAGGUGUACAUGGUAAGAAGCUGCUGAAUCUGCAACCCAGGUGGUAUCCUGACAUGCAAGAUUAACACAACCAUCAUCACAAACAAUGGCAACAUCACCAUCAAAUACAACUGCAGCUGUACCAUUCUCUUCAUUCUUGUCUUCAUCUUUGCCCUUUUUAUCUCUUUUGUACUUUCUCAAUCUUUUUGCAUAUGCCCAGGCUUGUCACAAUAAUAACACUUGAAACCCUUCCUUGACUGAGAUCUUCCUCUUGGCUUCCAUUUGCCUUUUCUAUUGCUGGAUUCUCUAUCUUGCUUGCUGUGAGAGAACCUGCUUGGACUUCUCCCCGACUUUCUGUAACAAGUGCAUGAGACUCGGAAGUGCUUGUCCUUUCCUCCUCUUCUCUUCGUUGAGGAUACAAUCCUUCACUGUUUUCAAAGUGAUCUUUCCAUUCGGAGUAGAAUUGCUAAGUGACACCACCAAAGUCUCCCAACUAUCCGGCAAUGAACUCAAUAGGAUUAAUGCUUGCAUUUCAUCGGCUAACUCAAGAUUCAUCAAUGACAGCUGAUUCAAGAACCCUUGGAAUACAUUUAUAUGCACCGAAGCAUCUUCACCAUCUCUAUACUUCAAAUUCACAAGGUCUCUAAUUACAAAAACCUUGUUUUGUGCACUCUCCUUGGCAAAUGUUUCUUCCAACAUCUUCCAAACUGUAUAGCAGUCAUGUUCUUGAGAAAUAUGAUUAAUGGACUUAGAAGAUACCCAUUUUCUAACAUUAGCGGUAGCCUUUCUAUUAAGUCCAUUCCAUUUUGCAUCAUCCAUUUCAUCAGGCUUUAUUCCUUUACAUUCAAUCGGUAAAGCCAAAUCAUUGCAAUAUAAGUGAUCCUCCAUCAUUGUUUUCCAUAGAAAAUAAUUUGAGGAAGUGAGCUUUAUCAUGCCCGAAUCUUCCUUCUCCAUUUUAACUGCACAAAAAUUCAAUCUACACAACCAGUGCUCUGAUACCACUUGUUGGGAAAACUAGGAACAACCGAACCAAUUUAGCGGAAUACAAUUCACAAGUCCCAAUUAUUUCCCUCUUUGUGCAGUAAAAACAAAAUCAAAAGCAAUGACCAAAUAUAAUGCAAAAAAUCACACAAAUCAACACCAAGAUUUUUACGUGGAAAACCCGAUGCGGGAAAAACCACGGGACCGUAGUCCAUCUAAAAACUUCCACUAUCAACAAUAAUGGGUUCACAACUGUUCUUCCUCAUAUUCAACUAAGGGAUACAACAUAAUAUCAUCAAGAACAACUUAUUCUCGGAUUACAACAAGAUUAUAAGAGAAUUAUUGGAGAAAAACUCACAAUACUGACAGCCCCGUUUGCUGUCAAAACGGUCAGCUUCCACGCCACUAAUCUUCGAUCCAACCGUCCAGAAUGAAGAGUAACGUAUCUAGAAGCUUCUGUCAAAAUUUCAGCCUGAUCCAACGGUGAACGAGCUGGGAAUCUAAGGAAGAACACAAGCUGCUCUGCUCCUCUUCUUCUCUUUUUCUCUCGGUUUUCUCUUCUCUCUUGUGUUUCUUCUUCUGCCAUCUACAGUGAACAUUGUGUUUUUAAAUUAAAGAGACAGCCAGGUCUCUUGCCAAUUAAUGUGGUGGUCCCACCAUCACAUGGUGCGGGACCACAUAACAUAUACUAACAUGAAAAGAAAUAUUAUAGCACUUGGAAAAAUGAAGUAAUUAAGCAAAAUAAAAGGUAACAUUUCUAUGUGAUCAGACAGGGGAGGGUGUCAGUAAGGCAGAAGAAAGAAGGCUAGCUAGUGGAUUGAACAGCAUGUCCAUGAACUGCCAAGAGAUUAUGGAGUCCAAAGAAACAACUGAGGAUAAAGAAACUAGGAGUGAGCAACAAGAUAACAUGAAAAACAAUUGGAUGGAGCAAACUAAAAUACCUCAAGUGAGAGCAAUUGUUGAAAGACAGGAUCCCUCUUCUAAGGUGAUUUUUUUACUCACUCUUGCUUCAUUUUGCGUCAUUUUUAUUUGCAGCUGUUGAUGUUCUUGUCAUUCUUCCUAGCUAGUCUGCUGUUUUUGCUAUUUUUAUAAUAUUUGACGAUUUUUGAAAAUAUUUCUUAUCUAUGUACGGAGCAACAUAGCUACUAGACAUCCUAAGAGGCGGCAAUGACCAUCCUAUAUAUUUUUCAAGCCAAUUAAGCUUACUCAAAUUAUGUUACUGUCUCAGUUUUUUUGAGCUCUGCAGUCGUUCACCAUUCUUGGUGGUGAUAACAGUACUGGAAGCUGCAGUGUUUUGUGAACGUUGCUUUAAUUUGUUCUUGUAAUUAUCGAACUCCCUGUUACUGUCAUAAUCUGUGACAGGUGGCGGUAACGUAGUGUAUAUUUGAUUUUUCUCAGAGUUGAUCUCUUUAUUCAUUUGACAAUGAUCUUGGAAUUUCUUAUUUAAAAUCGGGGUGCAGGAAGUAGAUGACCUGACGAUUAGAAGAUUUUUGCGUGCUCGUGAUUUAGAUAUAGGAAAGGCUUCUUCCAUGCUCCUCAGGUACCUGAAAUGGAGAAGGGAAUUUGUUCCAAAUGGUUCAGUUUCUCUGUUGGAGAUGCCAAAUGAAGUUGCACAGAACAAGAUGUUUCUGCAAGGAUCAGAUAAAGAAGGACGACCUAUAACAGUUAUCCUAGGAGCUAGGCAUGUUCAAAGCAAAGGAGGUCUAGAAGAAUUCAAGCGUAUGUACAGUUACCAUCCAAGCCUUUAAUCAUCUGACAACUUGCAACAGAUCCUAUGAUUUUUUUGUCUUAAUUUAUCUUUCAACUGAGACAGUUUUAUUAUUGCUUGUGCCUAUAGGUUUUGUAGUCUAUGGGUUUGACAAGAUAUGUUCAAGGUAAUUCCUUGCCUAACCAGCCAUUUCUGUCUUCGAAAAAUAUUGAAAACUGCAGAUCAGAGCAGCACCUUGGCUGUAACAUAUUUUGAUAUAUAUUCGACAUUGACGUAUCAGGAUGCCACCAGGACAAGAGAAAUUUGUUGUCAUUGGAGACCUUGAGGGUUGGGGAUAUGCAAACAGCGAUAUCCAUGGAUACCUUGCAAGUUUAUCCAUUUUGCAGGUAUUGAGCUCAACUACGCACAAUUUUUCUAUAGAUGAUUAUAAUGGUAUUUGAAUAGCCUGGCUGAAAUAUCUCGAGUGCAGGAAUAUUACCCAGAAAGGCUUGCAAAGGUAUUCCUUGUGCAUGCUCCCUACAUCUUUAUGGCAGUGUGGAAGAUUGUUUAUCCUUUUAUAGACAAAAAUACUAGGAAGAAGGUAAAGCAUGUGCAUUCAUCUUGUAUUCCUUCAGUUGAAUAAUUUAUCUGUGUGUGGAUUGCUAAUGUAUUGUAGUCCUGCAUCUCUUCACAGAUAGUAUUUGUGGAUAACAGGAAGCUGAAAUCAACUCUCCUUGAAGAAAUUGAUGAGAGCCAGAUCCCUGACAUUUACGGGGGGGAACUUCCAUUAAUUCCUAUCCAUCAAAGCACGUGAUGCAGCCAGCAAGCAACUGCAGGAAAACAUGAUCGGAGACCAAUAUUGUACCAUUACUAUAUUAAUUUAAAGUCAAUGUGGUAGUGUUAGUUGGCAGGUCUUGCCACAUUAUUGUUGGUAGCCUUGUGGCUACCUUCAAGUUUCCACUUUAAAAUAGCUAGAGCUAAAUGCAUGAUUUUCAAGUUUUCUGGCUUUGUUUUAAUUAAUUUAGAUUUCUCAUUGUCGGCAUUUGUUUUAAUAAUUACAAAAAGACACUCAAGGUGCUGGUGAAUUCACUGUUACUCUAGAUACUCACCAUCUUGCCCUUAAAAAAAAAGCAUAAGCUAAUAGUUGAGAGUAAAAUUGUCUUUGCAAUGAGAUUAUUUUGGUAUUUUUAAAUUGAUGAAAGAUAAGAUGGAUAUUUCACUUUAUUUUUUGCAAAGUUAAAGUAGAUUGAUGCAUAGUAAAAUAAACUAUAUUAAUCUUGAAAUUAGAAAAAUAAUAAACUUACAAUGAGUUUUUUUUUUUAUCUUUUUUAUUUUUAUAAGCACAGUAAAAACAUCUCUUUGUCCUUGGAGUUUAUAUUCUUAAGCCUCAAGUCAAAGGGUAUUUUAUCAUUGCACAACUAGUUUUUUUUGUUAUUAUGUUGGGCUAUGGGCAGUUUGGUUUUUUUAAAAAAAAAUAAUAGUAGAAAAAUUUGUUCACGUGCACUGAACAUGCGUCAACGCAUUAGUCUCUUCGUCGUCUUUGAAUGGCACUUAUGAUUGAUUCUAGUGGUUAAAAAGGCUAUUUCAAGUGGCAUCUAUUUCAUCUCAGUGUUUCUUCUAUAAAAAUAUGGCGCGUGUAUCAAGAAAAACUCUGGUUUGGUGUUGAUGGUCAUUUUUUUUUCUUCUUUCUUUCAUUUUCCUUGGUGUUUGCUAUUUGUCCCCUGAUUUUUCAAAUUAACCCUUAAACUUCUAUGAAAAUUAGUCUUUGUUCUUUUGAUUUUUCUAAAUAAUUCAUUACAUUAGAUUAUUUUUUAUUUUAUUUUAUCCUCAUUUAUUUUUUUGCUUUGUCAAAUUUAAUCCUUAUCUUUUUAAUUUCUAUUUUUGUAAUGUGAAAUAAUUUUUAGAAUUGUAUUUUUUUUAUUCCACCCCCAUCAAUCUUUUUUCUAUUAAAUUUCAUCCUCAUUCUUUAGAUUAUGUUUUUUUUUCUUUGUAACAUUUUCUAAUUUGAUUUUUUUUCUAUUUCAUUCUUCAACAUUUAAUUUAUUUAAAUUUGAUCUUCUUAGUUACUCAUGUCUAAGAUUUUCCGGUUGUAAACUUUGAAAAUUAACGUAGUUUCACGAGGUUUGCCAAUGAUUGCUUUGUUUUUUUUGUUUUUUUUUAUCAUUUUCAUCCUUUAAUAUUUAUUUAAUUGGAGAUUGAACUAUGUAUUUUUCCUGCUUUUUAUGACCUUUGUUUUAUCUAUUGUUUUUUUAUUUUAUUGGAUUAUCUCGAAUUUUUUUUUUAUUCUUUAUUAUUUUUUUAAAUCAAUUUUAUUCUUUAAUUAAAUAGAAUUGAUUGACUGAAUAUAGUUACAUGCUCACUUCAUUUUGUUUUGUUUAAUUUGUUUUUCUAGGGCGUUGUUUUAGCAGCCCAUGCAGCUUCUUCUAAAGUCCAUAUUGUCCAUACUAUUGCAAUCAAGUUUGAACCGUUUAAGUAAAAUCUCUUUGUGAUGGGCAAUGCUUAUAAUGAAGUGAGGGUGAAUUUCUAAUGAUUUUUUUUUUGGUAUGAUAUUAGUGAUUCAUUUAUUUUAGUUAAUUGCUAUCAAAUAUCUUUUUAGGUUAGUCUACUAUUAUUGCCUAUAGUUUAAAUCAGAUUAUUAAACUACUCAAUCUUAUUAAAUCUAGUCUAGUUAAUGAAUUAAAUAUUAGAUUUUUCUUGUUUUUUAAAAAAUAUUUUCAUUGUUUGAGCAUUUGUUUUGUAAGCUCAAAUUUUUUUACCAGCUUAUUACAUAGUGUGAAUCACGAUCUAAUAUACCCUAACAAUAAAUUCAAAUUAAAAUUUGGUGUCUUGGCUAUUGAAAGUUAAAGACAUAUAGUUGGCUUUGGAACUGGAAGUAUGCUAAGAUGCUAUAAAAAAAAAAUCCACCUUCCAAGGAUUGAUUCACCUUGUUGGUUGUCUUUUCUUUAUUCUCUUAGUUAUUUUUUAAUUGUUUUGGGAUUUAUUUAUUAAAUCAACUGGAGUAACUUUAGAUUGAUUUUAUACAACAAAGAACAAGUUGUCUAAAUACUGUAUCAAUCUAUCGGGCCUAACCAAUUUUAAUAACCGUGUUUAUAAGUCACACCCUCUCUCCUUCAAACCCUAAUUAAAUUUUGAAGAGAUCUUGCAUCUUUUAUUUCCAUUUUAGCGUCACAAUAUUCUCAAUAUCUUACCAUUAUCUCUACCUUUCUCAAGUCCGAAUACAUCUUCCUUCGAUAAUCAUGAUUUGUUACUGACAAAGCCUGGAUUUUAUUUAGAUUGGUUUUUAGAUACACACACCACAUGUUCCAUGCUUAUCUUAAUGAAGUUUAUUAAUUAAUUUUUUUGUUUGCUUGUUUGGCCACGACCUUGUUAUUAUUGGAGUCUUUUCCAUUUUCUUUCUUUUGUUUAUAUCCUUAUAAUGAUUCUUAGCCCCUUCAAUUUCUCUUGUUAGUGCCACUGCCAACGUGGCAAGCUAUAUUUGGGCUUUGUAAUUAUCUUCUAAAAGCCCAGCUUGACCCAGAAGAUCGACAAUGGAUCCAUAAUGCGGCCGAAUUGAGCAUCGACUUCUCAUUAAAACAAAGUAUUUGUGACCUCCUGGGACCGAGCGACAAUGGCUACACGCUGUUAAAACUCAUAGAAAGGUUAUAGAAUCAAGCAAAACAUCUUCGUGAAGACUUAUUGUAUCUCUAGCAAGCUCAUGAACUGCUAAACCAUUGAUCAUCCAAUUCCAAAUACAAACAUUUCUGCGUUGGACACUAUCAAAAAUCUCCUUCGUGGUCUGAAUUUUACUGCACUUUGAAUCAAUGUCUAUCAACGCUGAACUCAAAAUAAAACUUAACUCAAUUCUUUUCUCGAUCAACAACUCAUAUGCACCCACUGAGCAUGAUUAAGGUCUCCGAGUCUUGCACACCAUUUAUAACCAUGCAAGUGUAAAUUUAUCUGGUUCAACAUUCGAUCUAAUCAUAGCUCAAAAAAGUCUCAAUGCCUCCUCGUAUCAUGCUUUUCUAACAUAACCUCCGAUCAUUGUGUUCCAUAUAACCACAUCUCGUGCAUGAAUUUUAUCAAAAACCGUUCUGGCAAUCCUAUAAUAUGCCAUUUUCAUAAACUUAUCAAUAAUAUUAAUAUCCAACUCCACCAAAUCAAUACCCCAACAGAAAACGUGAUCAAUAGCUUUUUGAAAACAAGAUUAUGGCAGUUACAGUGCACAUGUUUCGAUACCAAAGAAGCCAUAAGAGAUGGACUAGUUCCUUAACCAAAUGUAAUAAUUUUUUAGUGCCUUUUCGUCACAGUUUUGAUAGCCAUUGAGGUUUUGCAUGGUUCAAAAUGGUCUAAACUUAGAAUCAUUCACUAAGGACAAUAAUUACACUUCAUAAUCUGCAACAUUUUUUAAGGGAAUCAUUAUCAGUCAGUAAAGGGUCUUAAGUUACAAAUAUUAUCGCUAGAAAAGGGUCUAAUAAAGUUUCAAUCUUUCACUAAUGAAAAAUACAAGAAAAAAUAAACCUGUUCUGAGAUAAUAUAUAGCAAGCGAGCAAGCAAUACCUCUAUUGUGAUGGUGAGAAGGACAAGAGAUUAGAAAUGAACUGUAAGAAAGGUCCCACCUCAUAAUUCCCCUAUAGGGCUGUGUAGUUAGUCUCUUUAUCACAUUCACCUCCAUAGUUCUUUUACUCACUGUGGGCGAGUUUCAGUGUUUCUGCUUUGAAAUGAAAGAGAAAGUGGAAGAGAGAAGAGUCCAAAAAUGGGCUAAAUCAAUACCAUUUAUGAGCUUCAAAAAACACGGGCCCUGUGGGGCCUUUGCUUCUUCUUUUUUUAACUUACCUAUUCAAAACCGGCGUCGUCUCAACGAAAGCAGUCCCUUCCAACGGUCAAAAUAUUUCAUUUCUAUCAAGCAAACCAAACUCUGUGUAUAUAAACGAAGAAAGGAAACCCCUUUCUUCAUUUUUCUCUCAUGCCUCUCUUUCUGGGUUUUCAAAAUCCUCUCUCUUCAAGAAAAACCCUAAGAAAGAUCGUUCAUCAAGUUUCACUUCUAAGGUAUGAUUGAAGGUUCACGCUCUUAAGAUUUUAUCUUUUAUUUAGUUAUUAUUUCUUUGUUUAAUUUCCAGUUUGAAUAUUUCUUUGUUUGAUUUCCAUUUUGAAUUAGAAUUUAAAUAGUUCGUUCUUUGUUAACCUUCUUUUCUUUUAUCUUCUGUCUCUCUUCUGUUGUGUUUGUUUGAUUAUUUAGUCUGAUUAUGUGGUUUUUGCGGGAUUGUCUUGAGAAAGAAACUUUAAUUCAGGUCAUGAACAUUAUUUAUCCUUUUUGAUCGCUUGCUCUAUGAUUUAUAAAAUAUUCUUGGUCAUUAAUUGCUAAAAUCAUCCUAGGUUUAGUCUUUUUUCUCUCUAUUUUCAUUUUUUUUUUAGAAUUUGGAAAAUGGGGUUAUGUAUGCUUUCUUUUUUCCUUCUUUGUAUGGUUGUAGACCUACUUUUGCAUAAACAUGGCACCUCGGUUCAGCCAAGCAUUCAGGUUCUUUCCUAAUUUCCUGUAUAUUUUCUUUGAGGCAUGUGAGAGUGCUUGAUUUACUGGUCUCACAUCUUUGUCUUUGUGGGGUUGUUAACAGUAAUGUGUUUGCUGGUAUUUUAAAUUACUUCAAUUUGAUAUGAUGGAUAAAAUGGCUAUUGGCUUGUUAUGGUAUUGUGUCAAGACUACCCAGAAAAAAUAUCUAUCUAUCUAUCUAUCUAUAAUUCUAACAUUUAGAUGGUCAAAUAUAUCUUUUAUGUGGAUAAUUUCGGAUUCUAUGGUUUUUAGAACCUCUAAAGUAAAUCACUUCAAAUUCAACCAUUGUCAGAUAUUCUUGAUGGUAAAAUUGUCAGAAAUCAGCUGGGAAAUUAUGUGAGUUUGGUUGAAAUGAACAUAUUGAAACGAAAAGGCCCCUCACCUUGAUUUUGUCAUUUUCAAUUUAAAUGAGGCUAAUAAUGUGAUUCAAAUUUAAUGCUCCUAACUCUGAGUUUCUUGGAGUGGAAACUUGCAAAAAAAAUUGAGAACACAUUGGAGAGUAUUUUAGAGAAAACUAAAGCUUGGAUGAGGAGAUGUUACUGAAUAAUAAAUUUCUUUGUAGAAUACAAUACAGUUAGGAUAUUUUUUUGUUUAUCUUCGAGGCAACCUUUAAAAUCCUGUUUCAGCUAAAUACUGAAUACUAGAAAUCCUUUUUGAUUGGGAUGUUGAUCAGCAACAUAUUUUGAAUGCUAAAAUACGUAUCAUUUAUUUUUCCUUCUUUAUUUCAGUUGAUCAUCAUUGUUAUAUGUUCUAUCCAUUAUCUUUACCUUGAAAAGUUUGGAGCAGGUGGUUCCCAUAUCUCGUAUGCUGAAUUGUAGUUUAAUUUCGUUGUAGUUGUUCUUUUUCAUUUUUAAUACCUGCAGCUGAGACACUUGCAUUGGAAAAGAACUGAAAUGCCAUUAAAGAUUUAUGGAGGUUAAGAGGAUGGACCUCAAAAUCCUAUUAUAAAGAACAGAAAUCUUUUUUGUGUUUUGCUUGAACUUUGAAAUUGAACCAAAAUACAGAACUUGUAUUUGUGUGCAUGUAUAACUCUUGCCUCGUACACAUUUCACUUCACUUUUUUUUAAUAAAAGAAUGACUUGAUAAUAUACCCCUGUACGGCAACUAGUCUUUUAUUACUUUGUUUGUAAGGCUUUCACUCUUAUAGGCAAUUAUUCUGGAUGCGUUCGGAAGAAGUGGAGAAAGAUUGAUGCUUUGAGUAGCUUAAUACAGAUAAAACGAAGUAGGCUUCUGAGGUAAUAAUUUUGUAGUUUCUUAUACACUGAUAAUAUGAUUUGCUUGGUCUAGUCACUUUGUAGUUGUCUCACAUCUCUUUUUCAUGGUUGUUAUUAGUGUUUUCUUUUCGUUGCCACCAUCAUAAUAACCUAGUGAAGCUAGUUUCUUUAUCACAUUUAGCUGCAUAGUUUCAUGUUGCUCUCCCUCCAUUUGUCUUAUUGUCUCUGCUUUGAGAGGGAAGAGUACGAGCAUGGAUUAUUGAGAGGGGUUAAUAUAGGAUAAUCUGGUUUGCUGAAUUGAAGAAUCAAGUUUUUCUAUUGUUAUUGGAGAUUUUUAUUUACUGGUAUAUAGCUCACUUAUAAAAUCCCUCUCUAAAUUUUUUAAUAAUCAUUCUUUUUUAGUUUCUUGAAUGAUAUUUAAUAACUAGGAGAGUAAAGUGCCCGUAAGAUUAGCCCCGGGGAUAAAUGAAGUCUAGAAGAUUGGCUUUUUUAAGUAUUUUGUGGCUUUGUAGAACCUGAAAAGUAAAUAUAUUAUAAUGUACUUGUAAGCAACCAUUGCCAAUAUGCGAGAAUGCUAAUCACAUUAUUCUUAAUUUAUGGUAGAAUUUUUUUUUUUUUUGAUGAAUCAUGUUUAAUAUAGGAGCCAAAAGUGGAGGAAGAUCCAUGCUUUUAACAAAAUUUAAUGCAGAUGAACCAUUGUAAUAUGUAAAUUUAAUGCAAAUUUAAUGCAGAUGAAUCAUGUUUAAUAUUGUAAUGUACUUUGUUUCUUUC
rnacentral:lncRNA from 1 species